CUCAUUCACGAAGCCGGUCUAUAAGGUGGGUAUAAGGUUGUUGCCUAUAAAAUGGCAACUUAAUGGGUGUCCACUCUCACCCACCGCUUGCUUGACUGGUGGAGGGUCGUUAGCCGAACGGGUUUGACAGGACUAGAAUUCUCCCUUCAUUAAAAGUAUUAAUGAUAAUACUAAGUAACUAAACUCUUAAUAAUACCCAAUCUUAGUUACUUAGGAAAAAUGUGAAUAAGGUGCUAAUCCAUGAAAUUACACUUUACACUUUGUCUAAGUCGUUAGUGGAGCGUGUGUGGUUAACCGGCACACUAACUUGGACUUAACAAGGUAGGUAAAGGGUGACUUAAUAUUUAUCAUAGUAUCGAUGGAGCGUGUGUGGUUAACCGGCACAUCGAUUGAGGGGUAAUUUAUUAAGGGUACCAAGUGAUUUGCAUGGUUACUUCACACCUUGUUUUGUGAUCCUCGGCAUCCCAGUCACAAAACCUGAAGGGCACACUCGAGAUUGAAACAUGCCUUUGAAAAGUUCAAUGAAUCUCAAAGAUCUAGGAGUUUCAAAACCAAUUAAAACCUAAUAAUACAUUUCGUUUAUCUUGGUGGAAAUUGGUGAAUCGUCAUUCACCUACCUUCAAAUAUUUUAUAGCUUGGAUUACGGCAUACCUCUUCUAAGUUAUAAAAUAGUUUGUUGGGUCCUAGCCUUAAUAUUUCAUAUUGGGUGUCAUAUUAAGGACUUUAAAUCAACUAUCUUGAAUAUCUCCCAAAAGAUGUCUGGUUUAGACACCUAUGAUCUUCCCAAAUCUCUUGAAACAAGGUUUCCUAAUGAAGAUGAUGUCCCAUGGAUAUCAUACUUCUUCACCUCUUCAAAUUAUUCUCCCUAACCCACAAGUUCUUGAAAAGUUUAAGGUCACUCAGGCCCUAUUGGCAAGGCAAGGUCUAGGUGUGGUCACAUCUUGGAGAUGUAGUCACAUAUUGACAAGCCGGGAGAGUUGGGUGUCAAAGUCUUGAGAAAGUUGGUGGUUCAACCACUUUCUAAGUCACAUAGUGAGUUCCUUUGGGACACCUAUGAAACAGACUAUGACAAGACCCUUAAUGAUCUUAUCUAUUUGCUAAGAUCAACUUCCUAAAACUUUAUGGACAUUGACAAUGAUGACAUUGGAUAUCCAGUAAAGCAUUCUCUUCCCAAUGGAAAGGGAUCGGCUAUAGUCAACUCGGUUGACCAAAUGGUAAAGAGAAAAGCUAAGUCUGUGAUAGUCCUGUGUACCAUUAUCAAAGGGUCCAUAUGUUUGUAUUGCCAAAGAAAGGGCAUUGGUUGCGAAGCUGCCAAAUUUACCUAAGGAUGUUAAAGUCAAUAAGUUUGACUCUACUUCAGGUAAAAUCCACUAUCUAACUCUGUUAAGUUUCUAUUCUGAGAUUCUUGAUACAUGAUGUGACCGGGUCGCAUGGUGAUGGUUUAAGAAUCAAAGGAAAGUGAAGAAACUUAAAGGAAGAAUAUGCUGAAUCUGAUCGCAUAGAUGGAUUUCUAUCGCAUAGUUUGAAAAAUCGGAUUCUUGAGCUACUUCUUAGGAGUUAUGAGAUAUUGCUUAGGAAUAGAUAACAACAAGUUUUCAUAUGGAUUGUAAGGAUAGUUUUUCCGCAAAGUUUUAAAAUAAAAGGAAAUUUUUGAUUUUAUUUAUUUUAAAAUAUCCUUACAAUGGCAUCUGUGGAAAUUUUUGUUGCUUAUAAGAUUCCAUUAGUAGCAAGAGUGGAAGUAUGAAAUUGAUUCUUUCAUUUGUGGUAAUGUCUAAAUUUACCAAAUAAGGAAAGAUUCUCAUCACCCAAGUUUCAAUUGGACCGGAACUUGGAAUCAUGCAAGUUGUAUAGCAUGAUGAAUGAGAACUUUCAAGUUUUGGAAAAUUAAGACUAAUUACUUGUUCACAUGGAUGUGUGAGUCAAGUAAAGGACUUAGGGAUCGAGUACACAUUCUUGUGCACUGAUUAAGUCCACCACUAAAGAUCGAUAAGAAGAAUCAAAUAAGGCAGAAGGAUAAAAGUUUCUCAAAUCUGAAAAGAUGGGAGAGUACUUUAGUAUCAGUUUUGUGAUCAUCUUAAUGAUUAAGAAACCAUAUCAAAAUUAGUUCUCUAAGGAAAUCUUAGUGCAUUCUUAUGACUAAGAAGAGGAACUUGAAUUGUUGAAAUGGUUAAAUCAAGAAGAUGAGUCAUACUUCGUUCCAAUACAAGUCUUAGAGUCAUACUCCAAGAUUGUCAUUUGAGUGACAUGUCUUAAAGAAGGUUUAAAACACUUGUCAAAUGUAAGAGUAAAAGUUUUCUACUCUUGUACAUUUGAAAUUGGUAAGUUGUGAUGUUUUGGAUAAAACAAAGACCAACUUAGGCCAAUUGGGUAAAGUGUUUUUCUUGAUUAGAAUCCGCACUAUCUCUUGGAUGUUUGACAAGGGAGUCUUAUAUGUCAAGAGGACAGUGGGAGUCUUAAAGGUCUUGAAAGUCUCAAGAAAUAAUCAAGAAUAAAACCUAAAGUUCUUCACUAGCACACGACUUGAGGUUCAUAACCUAUCGUGUUGACAUAUUCUGUGCCCAUUCCAGUUAAAGUUGGUUUUGCAUAUGAGUUCUUAGAGUUCUCAAUUUGUUGCACAACAACUUGGAAGCAAUGGCAGGCCCUUGAGCUGCCAGGUGGCAAGAAGUUAAGAUUGAGUUCAAUCCAUAUGGUUUUGGAUUUGUCAUUAUCUUUGUCUUGUGAUUAUGGUUUGACAAAUUCAUAUGGGUAGGAACUCAUACACCAUAUAAAUCUAAGUGUCAUAAGGUUUCUCUCCGAUUCAUGAAAAUGAUGGUGAGGAAACGCUUUCACUAAGUAGAUUUUACGAAGAUAUCAAUUGUGUUAUUUGCAUUUUCAAAAGUCGUUAGUGGAGCGCGUGUGGUUAACCGGCACACUAACAUGGACUUGUGAGAAAUGGCAAAUGCCUAAGCAAUUGAGACCAUGAUUACGGUAUCCCUUUUCAUGGUUCUUGAAAUUGCUUAGACACACAGGUGAGCUAUCUACGGAAAGGGUGUAUGAAUCUAAAUUUCAGACUGUCCAGCUGAUUUCUGAGUACAUGUCAAAGCUAGUGGGAGCAUAAGUGUUAUGCUAAUAAUCAUCAUGUUAGUGGGAGCAUGAUAAUUAUGAUAAGUAUUGCAAGUUAGCAAUGUUAAUUAUAGAAAACAAAAGUUUCAAUUGGGAAAAAGUUGUUUUGCUAUAAUUAAGGGAGAGGAAAUUAUGCUUCAUCUCAAAUCUAUAAGCUUAGAUCGUGAGGUUUUAAUCAUUUAGUCAAGGAUAUAUAUGAAUUUCAUGUUGGAAUGGCUCAACAUAAGGAAAUUCUGUAUAUGGGUCCAUUAUUUGCGUUCUAAAAUUCGAUUAUGAUUACGGCAUCCCUUUUCAUAAUCUGAAUUAUGAGAACUUGGCAAAUUGAAAUGGAAAUAUUAUAGCAAAAGACUGGUUUAGUCUUUAUGUAAGACAUCAUGAAUCGUGUCCCAUAUGCUUCGGAUAUAGGAUCGAUUACAUGUGCUAUAUUCAUCCGUUCUAAAAUUUUCCAAAUGCCUGGGGCAUUAAGAAGGGAAAAGGUUUAGAACUGGAUAUGACUAAAAGGAUUAAACAAUUGUCGAGGACAAUCUAAGGUUUACCAAAGAUUGGUUACUCAAGGACAAUUGGAAGUAUAGUGAUAAUUCUGGAAGGACCAUAUUGACAUAAUCUGUAAGGAGGCAACUCUUGUUCAGAAGUGAUAGUCAAAAUGGAAUCUGGAAAUGUUUCAAAGUUAGAAUUUUCAAUCUGUGUAAGAUUAAGGAAACUUAAUGCAAGAAGGAUAUUUCCAAGGAGUUGAUCUCCUUUGGAAUACUCUGUAAUGAUUGUUGCCAAGUCUUUGUGACUUUGUGCAUAAUCAUUACAAGAGGAUCAAUGCAUAUAAGUUUAGAAUCUAACAGAUUUCAGUAAAUGGCAUGAAUUUGGAAUUCUUGCAUUUGCAGUAAGGAUUUGGGAGUGUGAAAAGAGAAUCAUUGAAGUUAUGUUCAAUUGAUCUAGUUCACAAAGUAAAGAUCAUAGACAAACAUAGUAUGCAUACUUGGUGUGUGGCAUGACUAGUGUUUAAGAAAACAUAGUGUACAUGCUUGGAGCAUGGGACAACUAUUGUUUUAAAUUCAAGAAUAAAGUUGAUAGCUGAAACAGUAUACAAUGAAUAAUGUGUAAUCAUAUGGUGAUAAAUAAAAGGUGUUUUAUUUAUGUUCAAAGGGUUGAUACCAUAUUGGAUUCAAUUAUUAUUGUGUUUCAUUUUGCAUGUUUUGACUUCCCGAAUAAACUGGGUUAUUCUUCCGGAAUGACUAAGUUAUUCAAACCAUCCACAGUCGGUCAUAUGUUGGAAGUAGAUAUGAAUUAAGACUGUCAUGGGUUGGCUUGUAGAGGUCUAAGGUGUUGGACAAAGGGCUACAACACUCAUGAGUGCUCAUAAGUUCUGAGUAUUGGAUUCAACCCGCGCUCAUUGGAAUCACUUCAUGGAUUUUAUCACGAGUGAUCAUGAGACGAUAAUAUCUUAUAUUCUUCAAACCUAGAGAUAUGAGUUGUUACUAUGAGUUGAUAGUACAUUGAUUGCACGAAAACGCAUUUGGUAACUCGGUGCUAUAAAACGUGCCUUUGUGUAUGAUUCAACAAGUAGUAGAACAAGCCAUAUGAGUCGAAGUUUAUCCAUUCCUUUUACCUUCGGGAUAAAAGCGAUAUCUGUGGGCCCCUCGAUGAUUUGAUGAUGACAAAUGGAAGUGCUCGGCCGGGCCAGGACUGAUUUGAUUUGUUCAAUUAGUCAGUCGUCAUAAAUCGGAAAUCGGGAAACAACAAAUGGACAGAGAGAAUGAUUAUAAUCCAUGUCUCAGUCCAUAUGAUAUCUAGAAUGGAGGAAUAUAUGAUCCCUUAUCUAAUGGACAAGUCAUUGACAAAGGUCAGAGUUCAUCUACAAGGUCAGAGUUCGACAGAAGCUUUUGAGAGCUACGAUUGCCAGUUGGUUCCUGAAGUCAUACGCAAUAAUAGUUUUAGACUUAUCCAAGUGGGAGACUGUUGGAUUAAUGUCUAAGUCCAUAACUAUAAUUGGUAAGACUUGACCCGACCCGGCAUGGUCCAUUUGGGUUGCAUACCAUCAUGCACUUGGAUAGACUAUAAUGAGAGAAAUAAGACACUUAUGGUUAUUAAUAUAUUAUAAGUUCUAGUAUAUUAAUAAUAAGAAUAAUAAGAUUAUUUAAUUAGUAUUGAUCAAGAAUUAAUCUAGGAUUAAUUAAGUGAUCAAAAGAAGACUAAUUAAAUAUAUGGGUUGAUUGUGUAAAUCAUCCAUACUUGUAUAGUGGGCUAAUGCUCCAUGGAUAAUCAAGUUGGGCUAAAACCCAUAGGAUGGUCCAUGGAUGCUCCAUGGUGUAUUUGUACCCAUGGAUCCAAGGAAAUGGAAAGCCAUGACAAUUAAGAGUUUACCCUAAUUGUGUAACUAUAUAAGCAUCUUAUUAUUGAGGAAAAAUCGGCCACUAGUAGUAUUCAAGAAAGGGCUAGCCGAUUUUGGUGAAUGGAGAAUUCUCUCAAGUCAUUCUAAGUGUUUUGAUGAUUGUGAUUCCAUUUGAGGUGUCACACUUGGGGCACUAAGCACUCAAGCUUCAUGAAGACUUUCUACAUCAAGAGGUAUGUAUUCUAUCUUGUUACAUUAUUGUUUUGUAUGCUAGAUUAGGAUAAUAGCUUGGAAGUUCUUAUUUGCAUGUAUAAUAGAGAAAACAUAGAUCCAAGGUAUUUAGGGUUGCAUGUACACUUAGGAAGUGUUAGAAUGCUCAAAACCCAACAUUUUUAACCCAUGAAUCCUAUGAAAAUGAAAGGUCAUGGGUAUUAGGGUUUACAUGGAUGUAACCCUAAUCCACCAUACUGUAUAAAGAGGUCUUUGGCACUUGAAAUGGCACUAGUGUGUGAGAAAAAGGGUGGGCUGAUUUCUAGAGUGCUUCAUAUUCUCUCAAAGUCUUCCAAGUUGUUUUGGGUGAUUUGUGAUUCCACUUGAGGAAUUCACAUUAUUGGUGCUAGGCUCUUAAAGCUCCAAGCAAUCAACCAUAAGAAAAGGUAAGUCAUUCUACUAGUUUUUAUAUUACAAGUACUCCAUGAUAUGCUAGUUAGGAUGAGAACUUUGGAGAAAUCAUAUUUGCAUGUUGAAUAGAUAAAACAUAGAUCCAAGGUUUCUAGGGUUGCAUGUACACCAUAAGAGUGUUAGAAUGCUCAAACCCCUUCAUAUUACACAUUCAAAUUAGUAGUUGUGAUGUUUUGGAUAAAACAAAGAUCAACUAAGAUCAAUUGUGUGAAGUGCUAUUCUUGAUAAGAAUCCACACUAAUUGAUGAAUAUUUAUUUGUCAAGGAAUGGUUCUUGACAAGAGAAUCUUAUAUGUCAAGAGGUUAGUGGGAGUCUUAAAGAUCUUGAAUAGUUUCAAGAACUAAUCAAGAAUCAAACCUAUUAUUUAUCACUAACACACGACUUAAGGUUUAUAACCUAUCGUGUUGACAUAUUCUUGUUUAUGUGUCUAUUCCAGUUAAAGUUGACUAUGCAUGUGAGUUCUAUGAGUUCUUAAUUGUUUGUAUAAGGCAAAGCACCUUGAUCAGUGAAGGUUCAUUUAUCAGUAAGGGUGAGCUACUCAACAACUUGGAAGACAUGGUAGGCCCUUGUGCUACCAAGUGGCAAGAAAUUAAGAUUGAACAAGUUCAGUCCAUAUGAGUUUGAAUUUGUCAAAGACCUUAUCCUAUAAUAAUGGUUAGAAAUAACAAAUUCACAUGGAUAGGAACACAUAGACCAUAAAAUCUACGUGACAUAAGGUUUCUCUCCAUUUCAUGAAAAUGAGUGUGAGGAAACUUUUACUAAGAAGAUUUUGAGGAGAUAGCAUUUGUGUUAAUUUCAUUCUCAAAUUCGAUUAUGAUUAUGACAUCCCUCUUCAUAGUUCGAAUUGUGAGAAAUAGCAAAUAGUUUGAACAUUCGGAACUUAUUGUUGUAAGUUCUGAAAUAGUUUAGACACACAUAUGAGUUUUCUUAUAAAAGGUGUAUGAGCUUAGAUGAAGGCUUAUCGAAGCAUCUCGUAUCAGAAAUCUGAGCUUUGGUAAGAAAGUCAAUAAGUAUUGAUUUCUAGAAGUUUAGCUGAUUUUUGGGUACAUGUUAAAGCUAGUGGGAGCAUAAGUGUUAUGCUGGUAAUCAUUAUGCUAGUGGGAGCAUAAUCAGUAUGGUAAGUAUUGUGAGUUAGCAAUGCUGCUUAUAGGGAACAAAGUUUUAAUUUGCAAAAUUGCAAAGUUUGAAAAUUGUUCACUAUAGUAAGGGAGAGGAUACUUAUACUUUAUUUCAAAUCUAAAAGCUUAGAUUGAAAUUUUAGUUACAUUAUGUACAUAUAUGAAUGCUAUGUUAAAAUGAUUCAACAUAAGGAAAUUCUAUAUGUGGAAAUAUUAUAGCAAUGAUAAAGUAUCAUGUCUUUAUGUNUCUUUAUGUGAGACAUUAUGAAUCGCAUCCCAUAUGCUUCGGAUAUAGGAUCGAUUGCAUAUGCUAUAAUAUUUUUGUUCUCUAAUUCUCUAAAUGCCUAGGGCAUUAAGAGGGAAAAAAGGAUUAGAUCCAAAUAUGACUAAAGUAGUUAAACAACUGUCAAGGACGAUGUAAGGUUCGUUAAGGAUUGGUUACUUAAGGACAGCUGGAAGUAUAGUAAUGGAUGGACUAUAUUGAUGCUGUUAUGAAUAUAGAGGAUGGUAUUAAUAAUGAGUUGCCAUAUGGAAAAUAUGGAAAUAUUUCCAUAUUAGGAGUUGGAUAUUAAGAAUCUAUGUGAAACUUAGAAGCUGUUGUGCAAGAAGGAUGUUCAAAGGAAUGUACUUUGAAAUUGAGACUUCACUUCCAUGGAAUUGUUCUUGUAACAAUAUCCAAUGAAAUACUUUGUAAUAUCGUUGGUAGAAUCUCUGUGACUUCUGUACCUCGACAUUAGGAAAUGAAUUAUUGUAUAAUAGUUUAGAAUUUGACACAUUCUAAUAGUGAUAAGAAUUGGUAUUCUUACACUAGUAAUAAGAAUUUGGAAUUGUGAAAUGAUUUUCAUUGGAAAUGUAUUCUAUUGAUCUAUUUCACAAAUUAAGGACCAUAGAUAAACAUAGUGUGCAUGCUUGGAGCAUGGGAUAACUAUUGUUUUAAUUCAAGUAUUGAGUUGAUAAAUCGAAACAUUAUACAAUGAAUAUUGUAUAAUCAAUAUGACAAUUAAAUAAAAUGUGUUUUAUUUAUAUUCAAAAGUUUUGAGACCAUAUUGGAUUUGAUUAUUCUUUUCUUUCACUUUGCAUGUUUUGACUUCCCGAAUAAUAAAAUUAAUCAAAAUAUCCACGGUCUAUCAUACUUUGGAAGUAGGUAUUGAAGCUAGACUAUCAUGAAUGGGUCUGUAGAUUGUCUAAAGGUGUUUAGACAUAGCACAAGUUUGCUGCAGUAUUCAUGAGUACUCCUGUAAUAAGAUUUAAGUAUUGGACUAAACCCACGCUUAUUUGAAUCACUUCAUGAAUUUUAUCACGAGUGAUCAUGAGACGAUAGUAUCUUAUAUUCUUGAAACCAAGACAUGUGAGUUGUAGUUUACACGUCGGUUGCACAUUGACAUAUGUAAACGCACCAAUAACUUGGUGUUAUAAAACAUAUUGUUGUGUGUGAUUUGAUGAGUAAAUAGAGCAAGAACAUGAGUCAAAGUUUAUCCGUUCCUUUUACCCUAAGAGGGAUAAAAGCAAUAUAUGUGGGGCCCUCGAUGAUUUAGUGAUGACCACCCUAAGCGCUUGGCCAAGCCUGGACUGAUUUUAUUUAUUCAAUUAGUCGGUCGUCAUAAAUCCGAAAUCGGGAAACAACAUAUGAACAGAGAAAAUGAUUAUAAUCCAUGUCUCAGUUCAUACGAUAUCUAGAAUGGAGGAAUAUAUGAUCCCUUAUCUUAUAGACGCGUUACUAAUAAGAUCAAAGUUCGACAACAGUCUUUUGAGAGCUACGAUUGUCAAUCGGAUUUUGAAGUCGUACUUGCAAUUAUAGUUAUUAGACUUAUCCAAGUAGGAUACUGUUAGAUUAGGUGUCUAAGCCCAUAACUAUAAUUGAUAUGUUCUUGACCGAAUACAGCAUGAUCCAUUUGGGUUGUAACACUCUGGAACAAUUUGAUAGGAUGGAUAUUUGAGAAAGAGGUUAUUUGUGAUUUAUUAAUAUAUUAUAAGUAUGAUAUAUUAAUUGAGAAAUCAUAUUAUUUAAUUAGUAUUGAUCAAGAAUUAAUUUAGUGAUCAAAAGAGACUAAUUAAAUUUGCAGGGACUGAUUAGGUAAAUCAGUAAUAUUUGUAGUUUGGGCUAGUGAUCCAUGUUGAUUAGAAAUGGAUUAAAUCUUUAUGAGGAUCCAUGAAGAGUUAGUCCAUAAGACUAAUAAGUUAUUGGAUUAAAAGCGCAAGUGAAUUAAGGUUUACAAGUUUAAACCUUAAGGAUUCCAAACUAUAAAUAUAAUCCCUAGCUUGCUAAAAUCGGCCCCCCUAUGAGUCUAAGAGAACUAUAAUCGAUUUUAUGUCUCCUUACUUCUCUCUCAAAAUUCCUCCUCUUGUUCUUGCUUUGUUAUAAGAUAUUUGAGGCAUCACACUUUAGAUUCUAGGCUCUUAAAAGACCAAUUCGUCUCUUGAAAGACCAAUUCCGAAAAGCUACAAGUAAGAGGUAUUCUUCAAACUUAUUUUUAUGUUUCAAUCACCAAUAUUGUAUGCUAGUUGUAGGUUUCAAGCUUUGGAAAUUUUUGUUGUAUGUAUAACUAGAGAAAACUUAGAUCUAAAGCUAUUAGGGUUGUAUGUGCACCAUAGGAGUGUUAUAGUACAUAAAACCCAACACAAAAUACAUUCCUUCGAAAAUGAUUUGAUAAUAUCUUUAUCAUGUUUUUUGGGAACAAAUUCCGAAAUAUUAUUCUUUAAAAUGGAUACUCUAAUUUUUAAAUAAGCAUAAAUAAAAUUUUUAAAUGACAUAAAUAAAAUUUUUAAAAUGACCGUGAAUUUGGGGAUGUCACAGGAUGAUGUAGGGAAUGAGUACGCAUGGCAUUCUCCCAGAAGUGGAAUUGGGUCGUUUUUGGGAUUUGGGCAAUGUUUGGUUGGGGCUAGCUUGCAAAAGGGUAGAAUGGUCUUUUACCCUAGAGAGAGUGUGUUUUGGACCCUUGAUUAUGAUUAUUACCUUAAUUAUUAAUUAGGGUUGGUUUUAAUAUGUUUAGUGUGAGGAACUUUUGUAGUAGCAGCGUGUGUGAGAGAUAUGGUUAUCUUCAAAUUGAGGUAAGUCUUCUCAUUGUACUUGUAGGUCGGAGGUACCAAUACCAGCCCACAGGAUUAUGCUAUGUAGGAAGACCAUGUGGUGGCCCAUGGAAAAAACAUGUAAGACCUAGAGGUGGCUCUCGAAAAAUUGUAUGCAAGACUAGGUUCUAGACCCUUGCAAUUAUAUGUAGGAUGCUAGUUGUCUUUGUGAUACUUACAUGGAAGACAGGGAGGUAGCUCUUGGCACUUGUUUGUAAGACCCGGGUUUUGGGCCCCGACUCGGAAAGGAAAGACCAUGAUACAUAUCAUGGAAUAAUGACAAUUAUAAGAUUGUGGUUGGCACAUAGCAAUCUUUAUUCUAUGUAUGUUGUGUGGUAUUUUGGAGAAUUCACUAAGCUUUGUGCUUACGGUUUCAUGUUUAUGGUUUUAGGUAGUUUCGGUUCUAAAAGUAAGGGCCCGACGUGACUGCAUAACAUCCCUCUGAUUUUUCAUAUUGGCUAUUUAUGACUUUUACUCUAAUGUUUAAAUGAUAUAAUCACUUUGAUUGGUUAAUAACUCAUUUUUAUGGUUUAUUGUUUUAAAAAUGAAAAUUUUACUCUAAAUUUUUGGGACAUUACAGCCAACCUGAGUUGCAUUGAGUUGUGAUUCUUGAUCUUCUUCAAGUUCCACGCAUCUCCUACUUGAUUCAUCCAUUAGAAACUUGUUUUCUAAGAAUUCAGUUCUUCAUGAAAUAAAGAUAUUAUUCUCACUAUGGAUGUAGAAGUAAUAACCUAAACAAUCUUUAGGGUAUCCUACAAAGAUGCAUUUGGCAAAUCUAGGUUCAAUUUUGCUUGAAGUUUCCUAUCUAACAUAAGCAUCACAACCUCAAACCUUAAAGUAAGAUAAGGAUGAAGUUUUUCCAUACCAAAUCUCAAAUGGUGUUUUUGAUGGGUUUUGAGCAUUACAACAUCCCUAUGUGUACAUGCAACCCUAUUUGCUUUGGAUCUUAGUUUUUCUCAAGUUAUACAUACAAAUUAAUUUUCAAAAGAAAGAAUCCUAAUCUAGCUUACAAUUUUCGAAAUCAAUGAAUCUACUAUGGUUAGAAGAAUACCUUUCUUGUUAGCUUGUAGUAACAAGUAAUUCCUUGCUUAGUGCCCCAAGUGUUGCACCUAUAACAGAGUCACAAACACCACUUAGGAAAGGAUGUAGGAGAGAGGUGAUAGAGGCUCUACAAAAUUCGUCUAGGGUUCUUCUUAGAAUCCCUAGGCCGAAAACCAUAAGCCAAGGGUCCUUUAAUUAGCUGAGGUUGCUAGGGUUUCCAGGUGAAACCCUAAUCUGAUUGCUUUAGCCUUAAGCAGUCUAUGGAUCCCUUUUAGAAAUCUUAUGGACGAAAUCUCUAUGGGCUUCAUAUAGAUUUGGUCCACUCCUUCUUUUAGGAGUUAAUCAGCCUAACUUGCAACUAUCAAUUAUUUGUGUCACACCCCAAAACCAAGAACGGCGGAAACGUUCUGGGGCGGAGGACGUCAUGUAAAGUAUCGCAACACAGUAAAUGUAAAUAAGCAAACAACAUCAUCCAUUGCAUUAAAUAUAUAAUUUUAAUACAAGCGUGUUCUGUACAGUUUUAGACACCAAAAAUAUAAUGUAAAUCAAAAUAAUAAGAUGAGUCUUGGAUGCGCUCCAUCUUCUCAAAAGCUGGCAUCAGUACCUGUCUACUGAUGACCUGAGAAUACAAGUUAUUUUGAAAGAUUUUAUCAGCAUUAAGCUGGUGAGUUCAUAAGUAUUUUAGUGUCGGUGUUUGUUAUCCAAAAACAUUUGAACAUGUCUCGAGUGUAAGUUUGUAAAAUGUAAGUAAAUGUUUGUAAGUGUUUGUACAAGUUUGAAUCUCUCAGAAAAACCUAUAUUUUCUAUUAAAGUAGUCUUCUACCAAGGCUUAACUGUUUUGUAUGCUCGUUUAUUGUAAAAGUGUGUAAUUUCCCAAGUGUAACUAUCAUUUAACAAAAUAUAGUUUGUACAUUAAUGUUUAAGUGAAAUAAUCACUAAAUGUAUGUAAUGGGUAAAUUAUUGUAGUACUGUAGUGUUGUAUUAUAGGAACUACUGCUGUACUAACUACCUUAAACCGGAUUUAUAUUAAGGUAUCAUGUGACUAAUUGCACCAUACUAUCGACUGGUAACAACGACAUAUGAAUGGUCGUAAUAACGGAAUGAUGUUUGGCACCCGCAGACCUGCAGGUCCGGCUGUAGCUAGCAGCAAGGUGUAGGAUAGUCAAUCCAGUAUAGAUCUAUACGCAAACUCACGCUCUCCCUCCAAGAGAAUUCUGGCUACAACUCGGGCCAUGACAUUUAAGGCAUGCUCCGAUACAGUGGAUCACAAUUGUUAACGUAUUCAUGUAUAUGUAAUGUAAUGUUACUUGUUCUAGUAUAGUUGUAUAUGUACUCGUAGUAAUAAGUAUUGACUCAUGAAUGAACUGACUCAUUGAUCUAGAAAUUGUAGUAGUAUGAUCCUGUGUUACCCCGAUGGUAACUUACUAAUGAUGUGUAUAGUACGCAUGAAUAUGGAAGUACUUUUAUGUCUAUAUAUGUAUAUUUGAUAUAUAACUAAUAUUGAAACGACCUUCGGAUGGUCACCCGAAAUCCCACCAGACCACAUCCAAAUCGAGAAAAAGGAAAUAGGGCGGAUGGCCUUCCUAAGCCCUUUAAACAUUGCUUAUAUAUCUAUACAUAUAUGGGCAUGCAAUUUAUAAGAAGUAAAACAAAGUUUAAUAAAAGCAUUUGAUAAGUAAAAGAGUUUGUAAAACAUUUUGAAGUAAAACAGUUUGAUAAACAGUUUGAACAGUGAUAAAAUCAUUGGUUUUCUAGUUAUUAAUCACAUGUGAUUGAUGUAAUCACAUGUGAUUGAUGCAAUAACUAUAAGCAUUUAACUUGUAUCCCCCCAUAAAGUAUUUAAAACAUUUAAAAGUAUUUCAAAGGUUAAUUAAAGGGGUAUGAACUCACUUGUGGUGAGUGGAUUGGAUUGAAGUGUCGGAUACCGUGCUAGGUGGCAAACGGAGACUUGUUCACACGCACGAGCCUAGUUAUCAUAUAAUGAGCAUAUAUAUAACUAAUUAGCCAAAUAAUAACUUAAUGAAAUAAGUUGGGACACUCAGGAACAUGUAAACACUUUGUAUAAGUGUUAUAGGUCCUAAGGGUUGCUUCUAGGUUGUUAUGGGACAAGGCUAAAGGGGUUUAAUGUACCAAAGGGCCUUGUAUAAGAGUUUACUACCCAAUAAACCCCACACAAGGAGUUUACGGUCGUAAACCCUUGAGUUUACGGCCGUGAACUCCAAUCUUGGUGGUUUUGGGUGUUUUAAGGUGCUAAAUGAUUUCUAGAAUAAGCCUUGCUUGGUGGUUUAAUCCUUUGGGUAGUUUAGGGCAUAGAAAAUACUCCUUUGAGGAGUUUACGGCCAAAAGACCAUAUCCCUUAGAGUUUACGGCCGUAAACUCUCAUGGGAUGGGUGUUUUAAUUCUUUCAAGUCCCAAACACAAGUAGGAUAAAUUCUAGGCAUUUGUUUAAGGCUAAGGAGGACCCUAGGCACACUUUGGUGCCCUUAUUUGGUGUUUACGGCCUAUGAGCAUUCUCUUGGCCGUAAACUCCCUUUAAGGGGUGCUUUUGAUGUUUUGAAGUCCAUAAAUUAGCUAGGAUUAAAUGGGUAUUAAAGUCUAAAGCCUUAGGAGUGAUUAGGGCACCUUUAAGCCCUUGAAUUUGGAGUUCACGGUCCAAGAAAUUCUUGGGCCGUAAACACCUAAAGCUUGGUGUUUUUUAUUGUUUUCUAGUCCCUAGUUUACUUACAUACAAGCCUAAGUUAUUCACUUAUCAAGGAAAUGGGACUAGAUAGCUCUUAAGCCUCUUUUUGGAGUUUACUCCCCAAGAACGUUCUUGGGCGGUAAACUCCCGGAUCUCACAUAUUUGACAUGUAAUCUAUGUUAUUAAGCAUAUAACAAGCAUUAUAAAACAACUAGAGAAGUGUACUCACGAUUUGGGAUGAAAACCCGAAGAUCUGUGAGAGAGAAAAUGGCUUUUCUCUAGUUGGAAAUGUGAAUAAUGAAUGAAUUUAGUUCAGAAAUCUAUUUAUAGUCCUGAAAUAUUUUGGCAGAAAAUAUUUUUAUUCCGAAAUUGAACUCUAACAUUAAGAAGUUUUGAAUACUCAAGUUUCACAAACCCAUGAGCAUCCACUGUCCUGAUAUCUCCUUAAACAUAAACCCUAAUGUACACCAACUUAUUCGGAAAAGUCUGAAAUUCAUUGAAACUGGACUAGCUUCUAUUGAAUAGCUAAUGUUCGUACAAAAUGGAAAUUUCGGGUUGUCACAAUUUUCAAUACCAGUCCCCUUACUUUUAAUAAGUUCCUUUAAUCCCAAAAUUAAUUCCAAAUUAAUUUCUAAUUAAUACUAAUUAAAUAAUAUGAUUUCCCAAUUAAUAUAUUAUUCUUAUAAUAUAUUAAUAAAUCAUUUUCAACCUUUUUCUCCAUAAUUCAUCCUGUCCAGUUGCUAUGGUGAAGGCAGCCCAAAAUGACCAUGCUAUUAUCAAAUCAAGUACAUACCAAUUAUAGUUAUGAGCUUAGACACCUAAUCCAACAGUUUUGUCUACCUUUUUAAUUGGAUCCAUAUUCAAACUACAAGCAGCGGUGAGUAAGACAUAACUCCAAAAUGAUAAAAGGAGAGUACUUCUGCUCAUCAUAGAUCGAACCAUAUCAAGUAAAGUCUGAUUCCUCCUCUCAGAUACACCAUUAAGUUGUCUUAAGUGGAGUAAGUUAUGAGAUAAUCCAACAACUUCCAACAUGAUAUUGGAACUCUUGGCUCAAGUAUUCACCACCUCUAUCAGAACGAUGGAUUUUAAUUGUCUUGUUGAGUUGAUUUUCAACUUCACUUUGAAACAGUUUCAACAAUUCAAGCACGUCAUGUUAUGUUACAUUAAGAAAACAUAACCAAAACGACUGAAGUCAUAUAAAAUAACAAUUAUAAAGUUAUGAUAGAAAAUAUGUAUGAACUUAUUCUUUUAACAAUAAACAAGUUAUCCAUAGUUUCCAUAAACUAAGAUUAUCCAAAUAAUCAAAAUUCUAACCAAGCUUGCAAGAUGGCUCUGUUACUAAUUGUUGGGUUUUUAUUCAAAAAUUAAUUUCAAAAACAAAAGAUUAGCAACAAAAGAAUUUAUGCUUUAAAUAACAUAAACUAGUUUUAUCCCAAUCAAAGGAUCAUCUUGCAAAUAUUGGAAAUAAAAUAACAACCAUAGAGGGAAAAAGAUUCACAACCUUUGUAAUCACUUGAGUCCUCAAGGGGAGACUAGAAUGUUGAGUCCAUACCACUUUAUAAUAUUUAAUUACCAUGCUUUUAAAGCAUGUCGCUAUAAUAUUAUAAUCAAAAUACCAGUCUCCUUCAUCGGUAGCAUAAUGCACAGUUGUGGAGAAAGAAUAAGACAAAAUUUAUAAAAUUCUUAUAAUCUUUAUAAAUAAUAAAACCUUAUCGCUUUAGCUAAAAGACAAAAGUAUUUUCAGUCCAAAAAGAUGUAUAUGACUUAAUAAAUCAUACCUUAUGAUAUAUUAUGUUAUUUUUCGUCGAAAAUUAUUAUUUUCAUAAAUAAAUAAUUCUCAAUUAAUUAUAAGAGUUUAUGAAUAUUUAUCAAGUAUUAAAUUCUUAUAAAUAAUCAUUUGUAUCAAGCUAUUGUUAGUAUGACCCUUUAGGAUCAUAUAUUAAUUAGUAAUAUCAUUAUAUUAUGAUUAUUAAGCACAAAGAUCUUUCACUUCUCAUGUUCACUAUUUUGCUAUAAGAUUCUUAAAUUUAGUAUUCUAUAAAUCUACAUAUCAAUUGAAAGCGCAUAGUCAAAGCUUGUAACAUGAUAUAGCAUGUUGUUUCUUAACCAUGAAAUUUUGACAAUCAAAAUAAGCAUAUAUGACCUAAUGUUGUUACUAGUUGUUUUCCUAAAGCACUUAUUCCUCACUAAUCCUCAUAGUUUAAGCCUAAGUUUAGAAUUUUCAAACCUAAUUCAUUUAAAUUAUGACUUCAAUACCAAUUUGUAACACAUUAUAUUUUGUGCAUUUAAAUCCCAUAAUUUUUAAACAUCUUAUGACAUAAAGUCAUAUCUGGUAAAAUUUGUUCUCAUUAUAUANNNNNNNNNNNNNNNNNNNNNNNNNNNNNNNNNNNNNNNNNNNNNNNNNNNNNNNNNNNNUUCUCAUUGGUGGGGAUUUUUUUUUUUGCUUUCCUUUGGAUCAUUGUUAACCGCUUUUUAAUUUUUUUGUUGAUAUAUGGAAGUGUCUACAAAUACACGUGUUAGAGAAGCCAGUGGAAAAGAGAUUAGUGUCCACCUCCACUUAAUGUCCACCGACUCAAUAAGCAUCCGUCCAUAUACCUCUCUCUUCUUUUGUAUCUCUCUAUGUCUACUACUCACCUUCCCUACCUUGGUUUGAUCCUCCACUGGCUUCCAUCUGAAGCAACUCCAGACCACCCUCUCCACCCUUCUAAUUUGUUGUCUGAAGGACACAAACGAGAGAACGAAGAAAUUAGAUAUGUUCUGAUUUCCCGAUCGGUUUACCUGAUCUCGGGUAUAUUCUUCGCAUAUGUCGACUCGAUUUCUUUUUUCUAAAUUUCUAGGGUUUGUCUUGCUUACCUGUUCAACAUCAUCACCGAUUUCGUAUUAUAAUUAAGAUGCGGUUGGUUUCUUCACUUACUUGAUAAGCCAAAAUAAAAUCUAAAUUGUCUGCUGCUUUCUCAGGUUGGAUAUACAGAGGUUUCACAUUGAGAUUGAAGUAAAUCCUAGCAAUCUUAGAUGAGCAAGAAGGAAUGAUGGGGUCAAAGGCAGCCACAAGCGUUGAGGUAUGUGAUUUACUUUGAAUCGGUGCCUGUACUUCUCUUUCCCUUUCAUGCUUCUAUCAGCAUUGACUUGCAAAGAUCGAUUAUCAGAAAUUCUGAAAAACGAUGAUCGAUUAUCAGAAAUUCUAAAAAACGAUGAUCGAUUGAAGGUCUUCCGGUGAAGCAAUCUUGGCCAUGGGAAAGAAGAAGAUGCACAUGAAUUUUUAAGGUAAAGUGACUUAUACUUUUGCAUUUAUAAUUUAUGCCAUUUAAAUUGUUGUAAUAGUCUCUUAGUGAGUUGACUCAGUUAUCAAGUGAUGUUAUUACAGGUAUGCUAUUGAUACUUUGCAAUCCGCCAGUCUUAAGGAAGCUGGAACAAAAUCUUCCAACUCCUUAGAAGAAGAAACAACUCUAAUCGGACUUACAUUUGGUGGUUAUCUAAGAUCUAAGGUAACAAUGUCUUUUAUUAACUACUUCAAAUCAUCUUUAUCUAAAACACAAGAAGCUUCUAAUUUCUAAAGCUACUGUGGCUUUGAAUUGUAGAUAAAGAAGUUGAUAUAGCAACUCUUGAAGAAGCUUACAUGCACUGAAGUACUAGAUGGUGAAAAAAAGUACAAAUGCAGCAGGUUUGUUCAAAAUCUCUCAUCUAAUCUUACCUUACAACUUUUUAUUUAUUUAUUUAUUAACUUUUUAACUUACAGGUGUAUAUCCUAUGAGAAAGCCAAAAAGAAAUUGACAUUGUUGGAAGCGCCAAAUGUGUUUACCAUUGCAUUAAAGCGAUUUCAGGUAUUUUUUUUUAAAUUUUUAAAUUUUUAAUCAAAGAUGCUACAAUACAUGAAUAAAUGAAAGUAAAAAGUAAAAGAACAUUGCUAUUUGUUGCAGUCUGGUAAAAAAAAUUCCGUUGUGGUGUGAAGUUCAUGUAACAUGACCAUUUUGCCCCUAAAAUCACCUUCGGUAACACUUUUUGUCCCCUUUGUUAACUUUAAUGACCGUUUUACCCUUAUAUUCCAACAAACAGUUUUAACAAUAUUUCCACAGAUAUGAUUUAUUGUUUUUUUAUUUGAAAGAUGUUGGUUGGAUGCUCUGUUGGGGGUAUGGUAGACAUGGAUCUUGACAACAUCAGAGUAUUCCCUCAUUUAUUGAGUCUCUAGCUGUUAAGAAAGAUGUCCAUAUUGCUUCUGGAGGUUCUUCAUCAGCUGUUGUAACUGGUAAUAUAUGUCUCCUUUGAAACAAGUUUAGUNCUUUUUUACUAUCAACUCCUACAAGGAUAAAAUCGUCGUCCUUAUUUAACUAAUAUUAACACCUUACAAUAUUUUUAAGUCAUUUACCUUUUUUUUUAAUCACCUAUGAUGAUUUUAGUUUAUUGAACUUUUGGAGUUUGAACUAUACCAAGAGGCUAAAUAACAACAAUCUAAGAGGACCAAUUCCACAAGUGUUGGCUAACUUGACCCAACUCACAUUUGCGUAAUCUCUUUAAUAUAAAACUUUAAACUUUAAUCUUUCGAGUCAAAUGCCUUUUCAUUUGGUUGAAUUUACUAAAAUAACCUUCCAUUUACAGGGACAUAUCCUUUAGCAUUUGGAACAAGCCAGUGGUGUUUUUGUUUGCUACAUUUCAGGUAUGGAUUUGUUUUUUGGUGGAGGAUACGACACAACCAACAAGUAUUCUUUGAUAUAAGCAAUUAGCAUUAAAAUAUCCAAUUACUUGUUAUAAUGGGAUACUUAUAUAAUAGAGUUUACAUUAUAUGUUAUGCUCACAUAACUGUUCAUUUAGGACUGUCACGCAAAAAGCUUCUCAUGCAUAUAGAUCUCUGACCAGAUAAAGUGUUUUUUUUUUACAUAAGAUAUUUUUCUGCUUCUUUUUCUAGACUGAACUAACCAUUUCAAAUGAGACUAAAUGAGAGAACCGAAGGACAAUCACUUUUUCAAAGAGUAGAUAAAGGUUUGGCUUAAUUUCGUAAAUGAGGUUAAUGGAUUUGAUUUUUGCAAAUGGUGGCAGUGCUUGCUGAUAAAAAGUAAUGUAACUACAUUACUUCAUCUUUAAUUUAUUUAAUUUAUUCAUAAUGCUUUAAUAUUUAUCCAAUCUCUUUGACAUUCGACUUAACAUAAAAUUCUAAUGACAUUGGUAUUAAACAAAAUGACCAAGUGUGAUGAGUUCUAAACUUUUUCAUAUGAACAUUCAUUUUUUUGUAGGUGGCAACUAAAAUGAAUUAUUUGACCAUGUGAUAGCACUGCCAUUGUAAUUGCCCUUGAAGGAAAAAUGAUCAGAUUUGGAUUGUUGGUUGUAGCAUUUACAACUUAUUUCCAGGUGGCACCUUCAAAUGACAGUAUUUUUUGUGUUUUGUACUCUUUAUAGGUUGAACAAUAUACUAUGAUUGAUUCAUCAUUAGGACCACCGACUGAGAUGAGGAAAACUGCAUUGGUUGUGAUUAAAAUUGUGAUAAUAGAUUUUAUUGUUAAAGAGUUUGAAAGAAUUGUAAUCUAUCACAUUUUUCUUUCAAAAGAAAUAGAAUGAAAUCCAAUUCAAUCCCGCAAAGCGGGUUCUUCCCUAGUUAUAAACAUUUUAAAAGUAAUAGUUUGGCUUGGGGUCAUAAUUUUAUAUCAAUUCAAAUUAGAGUAUGCGAAUUAUAGUGAAGCAUAUUACACAAUUACAAAUGCUAUUCUUCUUAUAACAUCAAAAGUAUAUCUUCAUGCUAUACCGAAAAUUCAAUACCUCUAAUGACUAAGUACUUUUAUUUCUACGUUACCUGAACCUAAAAUAUAUGGCAUUAGAAAAAGAAUACGUAAGACAAAAAUCUUUCAUGAAUUACACUAAUUUUAGACACAAAAUAUUUUCAAACAUAUUAAUCAUUUUCACUUUAAAAAUAUGAGAAUCAUAAACUUCAUUAGAAAAUAUUUAUCAAAAUCCUUUGUUUUAGAUAAUAGAUUUUCAAGACAUAUAAUAAGCUUUACUUGGAAAAAUAAACUUAUGAACCUCAGUAUAGCUUCACUCGACUAUGAAUCAUUUUAUAAUCAUCUCUUGAAAACAUAAGCUUAUAGAACAUAAUAUAAACCUUACUUAAAAACACAUGUCAUGAGUAAAUGGUAUGUAUACAAUGCAUCACCACAUUCCAGUAUAAGCUAUCAGGCAAUUAUGAUUCAUUGUUUCAUUCAUAUUUAUCCGUUGUGUACCAAUUCAUUGAUUUCGUUCAUAGUUAUUGGCUAUUUACGAUUCAUUGAUUUCAUUUAUAAAUAUCGGUUAUAUGCCAAUUUUAUUCAUUAAUAAUAUUGGUUCAUUGACUUCGUAAUACCGAUUUAUUGUUCUUAGGGCCCGAUCAUUAAUCGAUAAUCGGUGACAAUAUGAUAAAAUAUCAAAAUAGAAAGAAGAGAUGAAUCUACUAAGGUAUCAUAACAGGUAGGCGUGUUCGGCAAAAUUAACGUGUAGCAAUUAGCUGGUACCAUAUAACGUUUUGUUAAAUACUACGAGAAAUAAUUUUUGGAUUUGAAACGUUUUAUUUAAAUUAAAUGCUAGAAACUUGUAGUGUCAAAUGAGAAACAUUUUAUGAAGAAAUAAAAAACUUACAAAAGUUAUAUAUCCGAUUAACAUGAAGUGUACUUUGUGGCGUGAUAUAACGGGGUCAAGCGGCCCAAAAACUCCCUAUUAGGAAGUUCCAUUUCUAUAAAAAUCAUUAAUUGCCAGGUAAUAUCCAAUAAAAGUCCUCUAAGAGUAAUAUUUAUUAAUUAUUUUUUCUUUGAUGUCGAUAUUAUUAUUUACAAUUUCCUUACUUCCCCAAAAUAAACAAAAGGCCAACGUACAGAAAAUGACAAAGUUAAUAAAUAAGUGGGUAUCUUGCAUAUGUCUUUUUAAUUGAGAGAGAUUUGUCGCGUUUAUACGAAGAAGACGAUUUUUAUAUGUUAUAAAUUAAAAAUAAAAGUUAAAAGUAUCGGUACCAUAAUAUAAAAAAAACACCAUGUUAGGCAAAAAAAAAAAUGUCAAACGCAAGUACGCAACCAUGUUUUUGAUAUUUUUUCUUGACUUGUUAAAAAAAACAUAACAAUUCAUUUUAAAAUCUUGGGAUCUGAUAAAUAGCAAAACAAUGAAAUGGACGACACAAAAUGAAUACAAACAAAUGUUUAUUUAUUUGUUUAUCAUAUCAUGUUAUUUGUAUUUAUUUCUAAUACAAUAUUGUAUAUUUUUCAUUAAGAUAUUAUAUUUUAAAAAAUUAUAUAUUUAUAAUAUUAUAAUUUCAUUAUUAUAAUAACCUUAUAAAAAGAAAACUAUCAAACUACUUUCAUUUUUUUAUUAUUAUUGUUAUGACUUAUAACUAAAUAGAUUUAUUAAAUGAAAAUUUUGUUGCUUUUUUCAGAGUAGUUUUUAAUUUUAAAGCAAUUAUAUAUAAUUUGCUUGUACGGUAUGCAUAAAAAGUUGUACAUUUAUGUUUGAUUUGAGAUUUUCAACUUUGAACGUCAGUAUCAAUGUUUUCGCGCAAACCAUCGUCUCAAAUCCCAAAUUCUCUCUCUCUCUCUCUCUCUCUCUCAAAUUAUUAAUCAAUUCUUUACUAUAGAAAGGGUCUUCCUUCGUACAGUGGUAAGCUCCAUCGUUUCUUUCAAAACUUCACUGAAAUUGGGUUCUUGAGUUGACCCAAAUCGAAUCUCGACGGAGUAUUUGCAAUCGCCGGCGACUUGUUUGAGAUUUUGAGAAACCGGCGAAGAUUGGCUUUGAGUUUUCUCGAAAUAGUGAUCGAGAGUGUUGUUGGACUUAUUAUGUAGUCAAAAUCGAUGAAGUCUUUAGCAAUGUGCUGUUUUGGGGGAAAAAUACGAAUCUGAUUUGUUGUUUGUUCCUCUAAAUUUCUCCAAUGGGUAUUUGUUUCAGUUCCGAAUACGAUGCAAAUCACUCUUUCCAGACGACAAAAGGUACACUUUUUCUUUAACAUUUUGCAAGAUUCUCAUAAGCGUUUUUUAUGUACGUUUUAGAGUAGAUUCGAUUAGUUUUGUUAAAGAUUCAUAGAUUCAUAGAUUGUAACUCUAAAAUCACGUAUUCAUAUUUGGAAGAUUCGAAGUCAAAUUUUGAAAAAUUUCAGGUGAAAUUGGACAAUAUCCGACCAAAGAAAAAUGUACAUCACCGAUUAUACCAAGAAUCAUGGAAUCACCUCACAUGAAAAGUCCUAGAAAUGGAAUGGUGAUCAAAAAAGAUGUUAAAGAUCUUCGCAAGAAUCCUGGAUAUGGUAAUCUUGAUGUUUUCACAUAUGAAGAAAUGCGAAUUGCUACAAAAGUUUUUAGACCAGAUCAAGUGUUAGGUGAGGGUGGUUUUGGAAUUGUUUAUAAAGGUGUUAUAGAUGAGAAUGUGAGACCUUGUUAUUCAAAAAUUCAAGUUGCUAUUAAGGAACUUGAUCCAGAAGGAAUCCAAGGAGAUAGGGAAUGGCUGGUAUGUACUUUUUGCAUGUGUUUUUUUGUCUAUAUAAUCUUUCAAAUAUUUUCUACUUUUUGUCACAUUCAAAAAUUGAAAUAGUAAUAAUAAUAAUAAUGACAAUGUUGUUCUUAUCUUCUAUCAUUAAAAAUAUCCUUAAAAAAUUUAUUGAGUCUCGUAUAACAAACAUAGACUCAUGGGAAUGUAUGCAAUUUUUCUUGAUUUGCAUUUUUGUUUGCACAUACACACGUUCAUUGUUAAUAACAAAUAUUAAACAUUUGAGAAAAAGGUAAAAUAUAAGAAAGUGUAACGUAUUUUCAUUAACUUAUUUAUUAUAGAUCAUACUUCUCAUUUUUCUUAUUACAACAUUGUAUUUCAAAAAAUCUAUCAAAUACAAAGCAAUACUUCACUAUUAUAAUUGAGUAUACUUUUCAAAAUAUAAUGUCUUAAUAAAGAAUUGAAAGAUUAACUUUAGUAAACAAAAAAAACAUUUUUAUAAAUAUUCUUAUCUUCUUUUCAGACUGAAGUCAAUUAUUUAGGUCAACUACAACACCCUAAUCUAGUGAAGCUUAUUGGCUACUGUUGUGAGGAAGAUCAUCGACUUUUGGUGUAUGAGUAUAUGCCAUCUGGCAGUUUGGAAGAUUACCUUUUCCGUAGUGAGUGCCUAAUAUUUUAUCAAAAAAAAAAUUAUGAAAAAGUGAUUUUUUAAACUUUUUCACUUGAAUUGAAUUUUUUUGGAAAUCUUGUGUUAUUAUGAGUAACAAUGUGUUGAUGUAAAAAGGAGCAUCUGCGACACUGAAUUGGUCAAAGAGAAUGAAGAUAGCUUUGCAUGCUGCAAAAGGGCUUGCUUUUCUUCAUGAUGCAGAAAGGCCGGUGAUUUAUCGAGAUUUCAAAACAUCAAAUAUUUUGUUAGAUGGGGUUAGUUUGUAUUUAAUCCUUAAAAAUAAUAGGGAAAAAAAAAGAUGUAGAAUAUUAUUCUAAUUUCCUACUUGUUCUUAUGAAAAAAAAAAAUUAAAAUUGAAGGAAUUCAAUGCAAAAUUAUCGGAUUUUGGACUUGCAAAAGAUGGGCCAAUGGGAGAUCAAACACAUGUGUCCACACGAGUUAUGGGUACUUAUGGAUAUGCAGCUCCUGAGUAUAUCAUGACAGGUGAAAUUUUUUGGAUAUAUUUUUAUUUUCUCACAGUUCCUUUUUCUUUUCUUUUUACAUUUUAUUUUAUCACUUCAUCGGUUUUAAGAAAGUAUCCAUUAAUAGAUUGUGUUAAUGCCUCAAUAUCAGGAUGAAAAAUAUAAUCCAUUAGUAUUAAGUGUUUGAUGCAUGAAAUCUAUAUUUAACAAAAAAGAAAUAGACAAAUAGUAAUAGACUUGGUGCUAAAUAAAGAUAAGUAUACACAUCAAAUAUUUGAGUUAUAAAUAACUUGAUUUGAUUUGAAUUGCGAAGUUCGAACUUUCAUUAACUUGUCAUGUCUGGGAAUUAAAAGGUAUUCUUGUUAACUUUGGUAUUAGGGUUUAAAUGGUGGGCCUCGUUUGAUAUUAAUGAUAGAAUAGAUUGUACUGUAUUUGGUAUGCAUUCGGUUUGAACUGUAACCAUAGUUAUCGAUAGCGAAUAACGGCAAAUAGCGACGGGCCACCUAUAAGCUAUGUAGCGAAUAGCGGUAAAUAGUGACCGCUAUUUCGUAUUUAGCGAUAGGUAUAAAAAUAUUAAAAAAUAUUUAUUAUUUAACUAUUAUAGCUAUUAUAACCAAUAAAUAAGCAAACAAACCAUUAAACUAGCUAAAUAACUUAACUAUAUUAGUUUUUUAGACAUGGAUUCGAAGGCAGAGCAAGUCCAGAGCGUAGAGGUGGGAAGCGAAGUGGCAAACGAGACUUGAUUUUAGUUAGCGUCAAGCCGUUAAACCUAAUACGUUUAUUCCAGCUUUUUUUUAAAAAAAAAUAAUAAAAAAAAAAUAACCCUAUCGCUAAAAACCCCGCUUUCUGUCGCUAUUUAGUCCAUAGCGGUCGAUGACCGCCUCGCCACGCUAUUUGCUAUAGCGACCGCUAUGGUCGCUAUUGACAACUGUGACUGUGACUGAUGUCAAUGGAACCAAAAUUGCAAUUUUUGUCCCACUUAAAAAAGGUGGACCAAAAACUCGCUAUUGAUCCACUGUUCAAUUAUAUUAUCUUUGUAAAAUGAUUCGAAACUACAGUUCCUUUUUUUUACCAAAAAAUAACUAAAUUAUUUUUUUUAUAUAAAAAGUUAUAUUUUAGGAUUUUGUGAUUGUUUGGAUUCAUUUUGCAAACAAUUUUUUCUUAAAUGUAUAUAUCAUACAUUUUUUUACCAAAUGAAAUGUGUUUAUAUGUAAGUUAUUUAAGGGUUUAAUGCAGAAAAGACUAAAAGUCUCAUUAUUUUGGAAAUUUUUUGAUGAAGUCCUAAAAUUUUUCUUUUGAAUAGAAAUGUCCUGAUUAUUUAACAUUUUGUCCAAAUUAACAAAAAAAUCCUUUUUAUUAUUAUUUUUUUAACAGAAAAUAACAGGUUAUGUGAUUUUUCCAAAAUAAUGAGAUUUUUUUGUUCAAAAAAACAUUUAGGACUUUAUUAAAAUCUUUCCCAAAAUAAUGGACUUUUUUGCAUAAAACACGCUAAUUAAUGAAGUCUUUGUUUAAUCGAAGUUUUUUAUAUAAACGCAAAUCGUUCUUAAUUAAUCAAUAAGAUUGUACUUGCUUUUCUCUUCAGGUAUAAAAAAACAACAUAUUUAAAUGGCCCAUUCCUUUGGGUCAUGAGCUCAUGUCUUUGAGAUAUCGAUAGUGAGUUUAUGUCCCACCUUUUUAGAAGGCACAAAAAAAAAUUAUAACUUUUGUGACAUCAGUCUCAAUCUAAUGCAUGUCAAACAGAGUGUCUUGCAUAACAAAUGGGGCUUAUAGAUAUUUUGAUGAAAAUUUCAGGACACUUGACAGCUAGAAGUGAUAUAUACGGAUUUGGAGUGGUGCUUCUUGAGAUGUUGAUUGGGAGGAAGGCCAUGGACAAGAGUCGGCCUAGCCAUGAGCACAAUUUGGUGGAUUGGGCUAGACCACUUUUGACCCAUGACAAGAAACUUUUAAAGAUACUAGAUCCUAGAAUGGAAGGUCAAUAUUCAUCCAAAGAGGCUAUAAAAGCGGCUAAUUUGGCUCACCAAUGUAUUAGUCAAAACCCGAAAGGUAGACCAGCUAUGGGUAAUGUUGUUGAACUGCUCGAGUCUCUUCAAACCAAUGACACUGUUGGUCUAGAAGAGAUUCGAACACCAAGAUCAGUGAAAAAAAGCCCCCAAAGGGGGUUUUGAAGAAACAAGAAUUGUUGGGAAAUGAAUUCAUGAUAAUGCAUGUUUUUUUUAUCCUUUUUCUUUUAUCUAUACAUGUCUUGUUUUGAUUUUGUAGAAAUAGAAGGUAAGUGUUGUUAUUGGUUAAUGAAAAUGACAAAUCAACUAUACGUCCCUUUAAUAUUUGGGUCAGAAAUUAUUAAUGUAAUAGUAUUUUUUAACUUUUUUUUUAAGUUAAAAUUUUGACUAAAUUACGAUUUUGGUCCAUGAGGGUUUUCUGAUUUUGGUGUUUUGUAAUAUUUUUGGUUCAUGUUUCAAGUAAAUUACUAUUUUAGGUCCUUGAAUAUAGCUGAAUUUGCAAUUUCGCUCUAAACUUAUAGUCAUAUUACUUGGAAUAGGGAUGAAAAAUAUUACCAAAACCUCAAAUAAGGACAAAAAACUCUCAUAUUUAACACCUUUGUGUAUAAAUUGUAUAAUGUCUGAAUGAUCUAAAAUAUUGAACAUAUCAUCUGUUAUUUACAUAUAACUCCCGAAAAUAAACCUAAUUCUUUAUCGGUUUGCCAAAUUUUAGAUUCCAACAACUCCAUUUUUUGAAUAUUUGAAAUUAAUUGGAAUGUUUAAGCUCAAGAUAUUUCAUAUAUGCAAACAUCAAUACCAAAUUUAGACAUAAAAAAUUAACAAAAACAUAGUAGUAGAGAUAUUUAUUAUAAACUAGUUGUGAUACCCGUAUAUUAUACAGGUUGAUUAAAACAAAAUGUUAAAUAGAAAAGAUUAAAUGAGAAAUUUAUCUAAAUUAAAAUUAUGAAAUAACUGAAAAUGGAAGAAAAAAAUGCAAAAAAUAAAUAAAUUAUAAUUAUGUGUUUAGUUAUUAGAUCCAUGUACUAAACGGGUAAAUUAUAACAAAAUGUUAAACACAAAAGUGUAAACUAUAAAUUUAUUUGAAAUUGAAAUUGAAAUUCAAAAUUUAAAAUUUGAAAUUAAUAGUCAUCAUGAUAUGUUUAAUUUAUGGAAACUAAAUUAAUGAUAUAUUGGAAAUAAAAAAUGAAGUAAAUGACAAGUGGAAAUUAAAUAUUUUUCAAAAUUAUGACAAAAUGACAUGUGGCCAAUUGAAUGAGAGAAUGACAUAUGGCAAAAUCAUUCUUAUUUAUUAGGGUAGAUUAUUAGAGAUGUAAAAGAUGAGAACAAAAUCAUUGCUUUUAAAAUCAUUACAUCAUAUAGAACAGUUGUUGAGAGAAUGGUUAAAAAAAAACAUUCUCUGCUACUAAAACAACUUUCUGUUUUUCUUUUUUUCUUUUUUCUUUUUAUAUUCAGAUUAAAAAAAAACAACAUACCACAAGCACAAACAUCUAAUGAGCAUCCCUCAAAAAGUCAUCUCAGGAGCAUUUUCCUACACAAAAAAAAAAUCAAAAAUCAAAUUCCAAGACAUUUAUUUAGAAAUCUCCACUCAUUUUACUAAUCAACAUAUAAAUUUUGAAUAUAAAUAACAGUUAAAUUCUUGUUUAUCCAAAACAUUUAAAAAUGAAAAUUUUGUUGCAUAAAAAAAAAGGAAGAACAUUAACAUUGUUGUAUAAAAUAUAAAUAGGUGUUUACUUACCCCAAACUUGAUGCAUUUUUGUUACUAAUUGUGUUAUUGAUCUUCUUGAUGUAGUAUUUGGUAAUUCCAUGUUCAUAGCUUCCUGAAUUGCAUACAAAAAUUCUCUCCUUGUUUUUGCAGUGAGUAGAAGGUGGUUUGAUCCAUGGACACCACUUAAUUCCACCACCUAAAUAACAAUAUAAACCUUAGACUAAAAAUUAUUAAGAGAAUUUAUAAAGAAUAAUAAAAUUUUACUUGAUGUAGCCAUGGGAUUAUUGAGUUCAUAAACCGUUGUUCUGACAAGAAUGUUGCCAAAGUGCUAACAAUCACAUUGACAGUCAUGUGUGAUAAUUUUUCCAAAACGGGGCCCGUUUUGUCAAAAAGAUACACUAAUGCCACCUCAUCACAAGAAUUCAAGGCAUCAACAUAUGCAGCAUCCAAAUCUUUCUUUCUAUUUAUAGCACUUUGGAUUCCCAGUCUAGAGAUGUCCUUUUGUGUGUCCUUGACUACAUUGUUUCUACUCAUGGGGUCCAUCCAUGAGUCUAUGCCUUGGUUGGUUGAAUUUCCGGAUUUGCCCCUACAAAAUGUGGAGUCUUCAGAAGCAUCGGAUUGUUUGGGGGGCUGUAAUGGAGAUUGUCUAGUGAGUGUAUCCAGUGAUUGCCUUGGAGUGCAUGUUGAGGGUCUUGGAGAACUUUUUUUCAAAAAAUUGGAGGUUGAUUUUAAAUUUCUUCCUUUAUGAUCAUCAAUGUUUUGUGCCAUUUGAUCCACUACAUGUUCCAAACUUGACACCUUUGUUUGUAUUAUUGACAAGCUAUCUGUUGUCUUGCUUGUAAACCCCUAAUAGAAAAUACAACAAAAAGUACAUUAACAGUGACAGUGACAAUGACAAUGACAAUAACAAUGACAGUGAUAGUAACAGUGACAGUGACAGUGAUACUGGUUAUGAGUAACUAUAACGACUUUAAGUGACAGUGACCGUAAUACUGACUAUGAGUGAUAGUGACAGUGAAGUGACUGUGACUGUGACUGCGACUGCGACAGUGACAGUGACAGUGACAGUGACUGUGAAUGACUAUGACUGUAACAGUGACCGUAACGACUAUGAGUGACUGUGACCGUAAAACUGACUAUGAGUGCCAGUAAUAGUAAAAGUGAAAGUGACUGUGACUGUAACAGUGACAGUGACAGUGACAGUGACAGUGACAGUGACUGGGACUGGGACUGGGACUGGGAAUUAAGAAAGUAGAGAAAAGAUUUUAUGACCUUCAAAAGAUACAAGAGAUUUGAUUGUUUGUUAUCUAUAUCCUGAAGCUUCUCUCGAAACAAACUAAUUUCUUUUGUUGUUUGCAUGCAACAUCCAUGAAUAGAUUCAGAAACCGAUUCUCUAACAUUCGAUUCAUUACUUUUACAAUCCUCAAUCUUUGAAUAGUAUCUCUGUUCUUCACUACUCAUUUCUUUAUCCACUAGUAAUCGAUUCACUCCCAUCAAUUUAGCUUCAAAUUUUUCGGUGUCAAUAUUGGAUGUAGAAGAGAACUCAUGUUUGUCAUCCAUGGGCACGUAUUCAUAUCCAAUAUCUUGAGUACUUGUGAAUGCUUUUGUAACAGAACUUCCUUCAGAUUCUUCAUCUUUAGGAUAUAACAAAAAAUUAUUGUGUGUAUUUGGGACAAUGACUUUGAUAUUCCAAUCAUUUGGUUUGGAAUUAUGAGGACUUCCCACAUUACUACUACUACUACCAUUCUUUCUAACUGAAAGUGGAAUUCUUGUAUCCUUCACUUUGGACUCAUUAUAAUCACCUCCUGAGAGUUUUAGCUUAAUGUUUAUAUUUUAUUCGAAAACAAAACUAAAUAUGUAAGAAAAUGUCAUGAAGAAUUUAACAGUUCCAAAAUCCAAACCUUUAAUAGAAGAUCGAGCUUCUGAGCAUUCAAAAGCAUCAGUUUCUUUAAGACUUCUCCAGAGCUGUAAGGCCUGCAGUACUGUGUCCCUAACUGGUUUGACCUAUAUGAUCAAAUGGGUAGAUUUGGAAUAAGUUUUUCCAGAAAAAGAAAAGAAAAUUGUUGCAUUUUUUUGUGAUAACUCAAAAUAAAAGAGUUACAAGUUGAUUGAAGAUUGAAGAUUGAAGAUUGAAGAUUGAAGAUUGAAGAUUGAAGAAUAACACAAACCUUGUCAAAGCGACAUAAUUCAAGGGAGUGUAUAGAAGAUGAUUUGAAAGAUCCAAAAUAUGAUGCAUUACUUGAUGCAAAUUCUGCUAAUGCUAAAGAUGCAGCUUUACGUGUACUCCAGUCACUGUUCUUAAGAGCUUCUUGAAUGCUAGUCAUUGCAACACUUAAACUACUUUCUGUUGAGGCCCCUCCUGCCUGAAAUUGAAUAAGAACACUUAAAAUCUCUAGCAUUUAACAAAAAGAGUUAGCUCAAAAGUCAAAAUUGACCUGAAUGAUACUUCUGUUUAACUCAAUAAUGGCAGGUUUCACCAUGAAGUGUGGAUUAUUGAGCAACUUUGUUGUCUUUAUUAACAUUCUUUGUAGAAUAGACACUGGAGGAUCCAUUGCAUUGUCAAUCACCCGAGCUAAACAGAGAGCAGAACCAUUUUGAACAUGUUUAUUUUGCUCACAUAUUGCUUCAAAAAGAGGUUUCACUAAAACAACAAAAUUUCCCUCAAAAGAAGUUAAUCUGGAUGCCAAAACACCCAUGGUAUCCACACAAGCAUCUCUCACAACAGCAUCAGGAUCUUUUAGUCUUUUCACUAUGCUAGAAACCAUUUUUCCUAUGUGAGGACCAAUGAGAUCAUGGUGGAAGGUUGCGAGGGUACCCAUGAGUCUGAUACAUUCCUUACGAACAGCCUUUUUCUGCUCUGAAUCUGUGUCUAAGAUGCAUGACAAAAAUGGGGACACGUUUUCUGGAGUUAAACUUUUGAUUGUUCUUUCAAGCUCAUCAACCCCAAUUUGGUAUGUAUCUCGAUCAGAUAUCUUGUUCAAUGCAAUUACCACGCGAUGUUUUAGCUCAAAUGUAGCUUGUUGGUUGUUAACCCUAGCGGUGGCUCCUCUCAAUUUCAAAUGCGCCUUCAUCUUUUCGAGACGCUUGUGUUUACCUUAUUAAACCUCCAUUGAAGCAGAACAAACUGCAGGGAAAUAGAAAGAACUCAUUACGCAAAUGAAGAACACUGAAUUCAAUUGAAAUUCAAAGAACACUGAAUUCAAUCGAAAUUCAAAGAGAAGAGGGAAAACUUACAUUGGAGUGUAACCGAUUGCGACGUUCCAAUCCAUAAAUUCAAACCCUACAUAAACGCAAAUGAAGAAAAAAGUUGGUCAAAACGAGAGCGUAAUCUACUUUAACGUUGAUACACAUAGUAAUUACCUUUAAAUCAAUCAAAAACAGUAAGAUUUGUUUGUUGAUUGUGAUUACAUAAGUUUAAAAUCAAAAUUGUGGAUCUGAUAAAGAAAUUUACAUCAGAAAUGGGAAUCUGUAAUAAAGAUGGUAGUCGAAGUUCGAGGAAAUCAUACCCCUUAAUUAUUAUACUAACGUUGAAUUCAAAAGGUGGUGUUCGUUUUUCUCUGUUUUCGCGCUUUUGAGACUCCACAUUCGAAUUUGGAGUGAUAUUUAUGGAGUUGCUAUGCGUCUCCUAUUGUUUGUACUUUUCUCAGUGAAAAUUCCUUUGUUUUAAAGUAAGAUACAAUUUUGACCCCUAGGUUAUACAUAUUUCUACAAGUUUGUUCUUAGUUUUGAAAUUUUGAAAUUUUGACACCACUAAUCCUCAUGGUUGGCAAAUCCAUCAUGAUCCUUUUCCCAUUUAUUGUCUAACCAACUCCGAUGAGCACAUGCAAAAUGAGGAAAUUCCUUUUUUGUCCCUUCCUUAAUUUUAUAUUUAUUAUUAUUAUUUAUUAUUAUUAAAUAUUUAAACUAUAAACAAAAUCAAAUUGAAAUCACAAUUCAAACCCAGAAAUCAAUCUCGAAUCCAUUUUCUUUAUUGGUCAGAUUUAGUAAAUACUAAAUAACAAAUUAUUUAUCUAUUUAUUUGCGUUGGUCGGUAAUAAUGUAUCACGUAUAAAUAUAUUAUUUAUUUCCAAAUUCUUUUUAUAACUCUUAGUGAGUGACAUUAUAGUCUCCGAAAGGACCGAAACAUUCUUUGUAUCGACUAUUUAAGAUAAUAAUUUUUUAAGAAAAUUUUUACAACAGUGUGAAAUAAGAUUCACAAUUAAAAUCAUUUAAGACAAAUCAUAAAAAGUCAAGUCAUUAACAUUUAACAUUUUUAACGAAGCAAGACAUAUUAUGUAAUUUCCUAAAAAUACCGAGUAAAAUUUUCAUUUUUAAAUAAGUCAAACCAUUCAUUCAUUAACUCAAAGAUAAUCACAAUAAAAGUAUUCUAAAAACAUCAGAGUAAUUUGUAAACAUUCGGUGCGGAAUAAAUCUCUAAGGGAUGCGGUGCAAUCAAGUUGGGUCAUUCCUUUUGAAACCAGAAAUACCUGAAACAUUUUAAACAUAAACCGUAAGCACAAAGCUUAAUGAGUUCCCCAAAAUACCACAUAUCAUACAUACAUUGUCAUAAUCUAACAUCCAUGUGUCAUUGGCUACCCUCAUAGUCUUUCAUAUAAUUUUCAUGGGCUACCCCCAUGGUCUUUCAUACAAAUAUCAUGGGCUACCUCCGGGGUCUUCCAUACAAGUAUCACAGACAACUAACAUCCUACAUAGUAUAGUGAGAAGACUCACCUCAAUCCGAUUAUAAACAAAUCACAUACUCGAGUUGCUGCUAUAAAGGUUCCUCAUACUGGACAUAUCCAAAGUCAACCCUAAUUAAUAAUUAGGGUAAUUACCCAUAAUUAAAGGUCCAUUUCCUAUUUACUUUCACUAAUGUAAAAGUCCAUUUUACCCUUUCCAAGUUGGACCCACCCAAACAUGGCCCAAGGCCAAAAAAUGGCCCAAGUACACGCUUGGGAGUACGUCAUGCGUACUCCAUCCUUACGCCUUGUGUAUAAGCUUCAACAGAAAAGGAUUUAGGGGUAAACCCAUUACACCAUGCGUACCCCGAGGUCAUGCCCUACACAAUCCUCUAUUGUCCAAACCCACAUUUUAAGCUCUUAAUACCUACAGAUUAAACGUCCAACUUAUAGAUCUUAAUCUUUGGAAGGUCUUAAUUGAUAAAGUCGACAACUUUAAGCUUUUGCAUGGAUUAAUAGAGCCCAAGACCAAACCCUAGGUCCAUAACACUCUUUGAUAAACUCAAACUCUUGCGUGAGUGAGAAUUGGAAACAAAGACAUCAUUUUUGUGACACAUGAUCCUUAGAAACAACAUAAAGUGACAAACUUGAGCUCUAGAUUAGCUUUUACUAAAAAAAACCACGACCAUGGGACCAAAAGCUUGCAAAUCAAGGCUCUAACCUAUAUCUAAUCAUAUAACCAUGAAGGUAAGAGCUUUAUACCUCAACAAUGCUUCUAUAUUGGAUUCCUUCUUUAAAAGACACACAAAAACCCAUUCAAAAUGCUCAAGAUCAUUACAAAGUAGCUAGGGUUUCAAAAUGACUACUUUGGGGAGAGUGGAGGUUGAACAUUGUAACAUCCUAACUGUCAGGUAUCAUUAAUAUCCAAAUUAGAUUUCAUGUUUUAAGUCCUACUCGACGAGUCGACGCUAUGAAUCGUCGAGUAUCAGCGGUAUGAGACACGUCAUUUAAUGAUUGACUCGCCGAGUCGGGAAGAGGACUCGACGAGUAGGAGCUGGCAGGGGAAACCCUAAAUUUCAGGGUUUUUGCACCCUAUAUAUUGGACCAUUAACGCCUCCUACUGUCCUCUAUCACCCCUUGAGAUCCAGAAACCCUAAGUUUUCGUGUGUGUGAGCCUUGUGAGUGUUUUGGAGCUUUAGAAAGUGAUUUUGUGGAGGAAACUUGUAGAUCAAGAGGCUAGCCUCAAGGAAUUCAUGUGGAUCCAGAGUCUACUUCAGUUUGGGCACGUUUUGGAGGUAACAAUUUAUUACCUUGAUCUCUUUUCUUCUAGAAUCUUUCAUGUGUAAAGAUUAGGGCUUUCUUUAGCUAUUCAUGAAGGGAUUAUGGUGUGGGAGCUAGAUCUGAAGUUGAAACUUCAGAUCUAAACCUCCUUUGAGCCCUAAGUUCAUAAAGUUCUUAAUAUGGUCAUGAAAUUACCCUUGCUUAUGAGUAAAGUUCCAUUUCAAGCUUAGAUUUGGAUUUUUAGUCAUUCAAAUACGUAAAGGUAGCAACUUUACGUUGCUAAUGCACUCUAGGGACCUAGAUCUAUUUUUUGGAACGAAGAGAUAGUUCAGAAUCACUUGAUUAUGGGAGUGUUCGUAUGGACUCGACGAGUCUGGGAGAUGACUCGGUGAGUCGGGGAGGGUUUUUCCCAAAUUGGUCCCGCUUGGACUCGACGAGGUCUGGGAGAUGACCCGGCGAGUCAGUGGGGUUUCCAAACUCUGAGUCGCGUAUCGACUUGGUGAGUCAAGUCGGGAAUUCUUGGACCAAAAGCGAUUUGAUGAAAGGGAAAAUUGUACUCAGCAACUAAGUCGGCAUGGACGGUUGACUAUGGACCAAGUAGCUUUGACUUUGACCGGGGAGUGUCUUGUGCCUCCUCGAGGGCAUUUUGGUAAUUUGAGUAAUUAUUGAGUGGACCGCUUAUGGGUACAGGCGAGGUGGUUGGAGCUAUAUCUUGAGGAGUGGACAGUAUCAUCCCGAGCUGCUAGCGAGGUGAGUUAUCCUCACUAAAUCAAAAGGGUCUAAGGCACCAAGUUCAGCCUUUUUAGUUGUUAUCCUAGGUAUAGUAUGCUACAUGUGAUUAUGAUCUGUUAUAUCGGUAUCAGGAUAGACAGUAUGUUGUUAUGCUCUUAUGAUCCAUUAGGAUUGGUAUGUUAGUGACCUGGUUAGGUCAGUAUUCUGGUUAUGAGAGAUUGUUAUGAUUGAUGAUCUAUGAGAUAGUUAUAUCUGAUAUCUAUAUAUGCCAAUAUAUGUUACUUAUGUGCACAUGGUUAUUUGUUGAUGGAUGGGUUGAGGCGGUCCUGCUUUGUGCUGAAGGCCAACAUACCCAGCGAGCGGUCCGGAUAGACUGUGGGCCCCUCAUGGCGGCCCAGUCAUACCGUAGGCUCGGAUUAGAUUCUUACUUGGGCUGCGCACUGACCCGGUGCCUUCGGUAGUACGGGCCCAAUACUACCGUCCACACCGCAUCAGCAUUCACCCCAAGUCCUCCUCCCAAAGUCCCAAAUUCCAAGUACUCUACUCUCUUAAAUCAUAUGAUACUCACUAGUAAAUCUCUCAUAAGCUCUUCGCUGCUAUCUAAACACUCUCAAUCAUCCCUAGCAGCAAAACUCCUAGACUAAGGCAUCAUAUAUCAGGCCACUCUAGUCCUAAUAAGAAUACCUAGUCUACUCUAACAUGCAUAAUAUAGCUCAUCAUAUAACAUAAUAUAUCUCAUAACACUUAUUGCAAGGGUAUUUUGGGAAAUCACCGUUCAGGCGUUGGCUGAUCGUACACACGGCUUUGCUCUGUUUGUCUCAAAACUCUUUUACUCUUUUAAAAACUAUUUUGUUAUCAAAAAUUUUCUCAAAUCCUCAGUUUGAGUUCAGAUGCGCCCGAAAAUGCAUCCGAAUCCCUCAAACCAAGGCUCUGAUACCAACUUGUAACACCGUAAAUUAUAAAACAAUUUUUCGCUUUUUAAAACCAUAAAAAUCCAUUCAUAAUUACUUUUAAGAAAAAAAUUGUAUCAACAUUAUCUCAUUACAAAUCCCAAGAUAAAAUCAUAAUAAACUCCACGAGUGUGUGUACAGAUCAUGUUAGCGCCUUCCCGCGCUCAUCACUGGUACCUGAAACACAUAACACAUAACACUGUAAGCAUAAAAGCUUAGUGAGUUCCCCAAAAUACCACUCUAACACAUAUUAGCCACUCCAGGCUAUAGCUCUGCUGACCCUCUGGUCAGUGUGUCUUAGUGGGACCCUCCAGUCCCAACUCUCUGUGGGCUCUCUAGUCGUAACUCUAUGGACCCACUAGUCAUAUCUCUGGAGACUCUGAAUCAUGCAUACCACAUAUCACAAUAACACAUAAAUAGCAUACAGAUACACUGGCACAUAACUCAACAGUACACUAACACAUAACUCUGUUACCACUCUCGGUAAAGUAUAGUGAGAAGACUCACAUCAGUUGUCUCGGUAAAUCUCUGACUCGGUAGAAAUAUGAUCUAGCCUCCGCCUAAUCACAUAAAGUAAAUACUCUCAUAAAUAUAACUCUCGAGACUAGACUCAACCCUUUCUUGGCACCCUCAGAAGGGUAAAAGACCAUCUUACCCUUCACUUGACACAAAGGCCCCAUUGUUGACCAAACCCUCAAAGUCAACAAAGUCAACAGUCAAACUUUGACCCGAAUCGCCGAGUGCACUUGGGCGACUCGGCGAGUCUACGCGUGGCUAAAGACCCUCUAGACUCGCAUGACACAUCGAGUCUUUCUCCAGCUCUACGGGUUACACCUGGCAUGAAUCGCGGGGCCACCCCGACUCAACUCGCCGAGUCCCAAUAUGAACUCGGCGAGUUCUGCCUUGAACUCCUGUCCUCUAAUUCCUCUGACUCACCGAGUCAUUCCCCCAACUCGGCAAGUACUCACUGAGUGAACUAUGGGGAAACCCUAACCCUACUCGUCGAGUCUGCUCUUGGUACUCGGCGAGUUCCUGCCAUGCUCGAGCUCAAAUGACCUCCUGAGGUCAGAUUCGUUCCUCUAACUCAUAGAUCUGGCCUCCUUAAGCAAUAUAAACAUGUAAAGUUUGGAUCUUGAUGUGCAUGCAAAGACCCAGUGGCUCUAAUUGAAGAAAUGGCCUCAAUAUGUCACCAUAAGCUCUUAUCACCCCAUAAAGAUCAAGGGGUUUAGGUCUCUGGACCUCUUUGGAUCCAGAUCCAAAUCCUCAACACAAGAAGGGACCAAUUGCACCAUCAUUCAUACUCUAAAUGGACAAGAAACCUUAACUCUAAAGGAUUAACACCCAAAACGGAAGAAGGAUCGAAUAUAUACCUCAAUGUGAAGUCCUUAAGCUCUGAAAUCCACAGAAUAUCACCCUCUUCAGCUUCCUCUUGCCUUGGUCACCUUCUUCUUGCAAAAACACCCACACAAGGAUCAAAAAUGGCCUUUUCUUCCUCACAAACGCUCUUGAUCGCUAGGGUUUCACUCGGGGGUCUGGUAGCCGCAAUUGGUGGCUAUAAGCCCCUUUAAAUAGGCCUCAAACCCAGGGGAUUAGGGUUUCAUUAAACAGCGUGGACUCGCCGAAUCUGGUCAUUAAUCCGGAUGAAAUUCGCGACUCUACUCUGCGAGUCUAAGCAUCAACUCGCCGAGUCUCUCCAAAAUCUCCAAAAUAAAAUGAAUAAAUAAUGUACCUGGAAAUCCGGAUGUUACACAUAUAUGUGUCAUUAUAUGUUAACUAGGAUCCGUACGUGUGUUCAAGUCUUCACUUGGCACUUAGCAUCCUAUACAGAAGUUUCAUCCAAACCACUCACUGCAGGUGCGUUCAUACCCCUCAAUUUACCUUUUAAAUGAUUUUAAAUGCUUUUAUGGGGGGGAGGGGGAAUACAAGUUGAAACAUUAUAGUUAUUAUAUCAAUCACAUGUGAUUAAUAACUAUCAAACAAUUAGAUUUACUAUACUUUCAGUUGUUUUAUCAAUCAAACUACUUCAAACUGUUUACCAAACUUGUUUUACACGUUAAAUUCUUUAUCAAACUUGUUUUUAUAUGCCAAACUGCUUUUAAAUCGUUUUUAUAAAGUGACAUCAAGUCAUCAAUAUUUGUUUUUAAACUCUUCAAAAGGUUUUACAAAAAUUCUUUUUAAACUUAUAUAUAUAUAUAUAUAUAUAUAUAUAUAUAUAUAUAUAUAUAUAUAUAUAUAUAUAUAUAUAUAUAUAUAUAUAUUAUCAAAAAUNNNNNNNNNNNNNNNNNNNNNNNNNNNNNNNNNNNNNNNNNNNNNNNNNNNNNNNNNNNNNNNNNNNNNNNNNNNNNNNNNNNNNNNNNNNNNNNNNNNNNNNNNNNNNNNNNNNNNNNNNNNNNNNNNNNNNNNNNNNNNNNNNNNNNNNNNNNNNNNNNNNNNNNNNNNNNNNNNNNNNNNNNNNNAUAUAUAUAUAUAUAUAUAAUACAUUAUAAAGGAAAUCUUACUGUUUCUAAAAAUAACUUCAAUAUAAUAAUAUUAUUUUUUUAAGACGUCCAAACGAUUUAGCCAAUAGUACAAGUAACAACCAAUAAAAUAAUAUUAAAUUUAUAACUUAACCCUAUUUAGGUGGAAAAGAUAGGCAAAGAUUCAAACUAAAAAUAUAUUAUGCCUAAAAUAAAGUUAAUAAAUCUUUUUCUAUUAUACCAAUAAAAAACGUGUCCCAUAUAUUGUGGAAAAUUGGAAAUCUUAGACGGCGAUUCAAAUUUUAAAAUUGAAGGUUACAAUUCCACUUUUAUUAUUGAGGUUAAUACGUGGAUAAUAAAUUAAAAUAUGUCAAAUAAUAUUUAUAUUUAUUAUACAAAAUACACAAAAAUACAAGUUAGUUAUUAAUAUAGAUUAUUAAUAUAAAGUGAAAAUGAUGGACAAAGUUAUUCAUUGUUUUUUUUUUUAAAUUUAAAACUUUCUUUUUAAAUAAAGUGGUAAUAAGAAUUAUUAUACAUAUAUACACAUCAUUUAUAUCAAAUCUAAAAAUAAGAAUUAUCGUAAUUUCAAUAGGAAGAAAAUAAAACUAUGCAUUUUACAUUGUUUAUUAUUAUUAUUUUUAUAUUUGAAAAUAUUUGAUAAAACAAGAAAGUAAGUCUUAAAUAAAACCAAACUGAAUGAUUAAUAAUUUUUAACAAUAAAAAUCAGACAUGUCUAAUUUAAAUUGACCGGAAACUAACUAUUUUAAUAAUACUAUAUUGAUUAAUAUCCAAUAAAUUAUUAAAUACAAAGACUUCAUAUUAUAACUUAAUAUGUAUACCACAAAAAACAAUAGAAAAAUAUGGAUAAUAUAAAAAAAAUCUUGUAAAAGGACUAGAUGUGUAAUUUGCCCUAUUAUUUUUUUUUUAAAAAAAACUCGAAAAUAUGGACAUAUUUUGAUUUUUAAUAUUUUACCCAAAACAAUAAUAUAAUUUUAUUUUUAACACCAAAUAAUAAUGCAACUUAUAUGUUAAAAGAAAACAACAUACAAAAUACUUUGAAACUAAAAAUCGUACCUUUAUUUUUGACGAAAGAUAAUAAUAAAUUUUUAUUUUUAACCCAACAAUGCACAAUCAUCGUCUACUUCAUUGUGUUAUUUAUGGAUUUUUACAUUUUUCCGCAAUGAAACAAAUCGUCGCAAGAAAUCUAUUUAUUGAAGUUUUUAACUUUCGUUUAAAAACUAUUCAUCGAAAUGAAACUAAUUGCUUAAACAAAGUUAUUGCCGCCCGUCGCAUUGCGCGGGUAGAUGGCUAGUAUAUAUAUACACAUAGCACGNGAUAACUCACUUUAUUUCCUGUUCCUUGUUUGGUUGUGGACUUAGAGUACCCGGUUGUUUGUUCGAGUGUCGUUUGAUCCUUAAUUAAUAGUAUGUAUAUAUGUAUAAGACAUAAAAGCUUUUGUCUCAGUUCAAUACAUUCAGUCAUACAAACAAUUCUACUAGUAAACUAUAAUAGGCAUAGUUUAGGAUAGUACUAAUCAUUACUUCUAGUUCAAUGAAGCAUACAAAGAGUCAGUUCAUUCAUGAGUCUAUACUUACUAUUAUGAGAAACUAUACAACUAUACUAUGAUGAGAAACUAAUAGAACUUACUAUUAUGAGAUAAAUUACAUAUACAUUUACUAGUAAACAGAAGGAACAUACACCAACAUAACAUUUAGAAUAUGAGAUUUACUUCUGCAUGACGCGGAUUCCACCGUUGUCAUGUUGGUAACCAGAGUCUCCUGGAGGGAGAGCGGGCAUUGUGUGUAUAGAUCUAUACAGGACAGACUAUCCCACACCCCGACUGUUAGCUACAGUCCCCGGCCGACCAAGCCAAGGGGUGACAAAUGUCACUUUUAUUUCAACGUCUUUCAUCGUCGUGUUUUACAGCCGUCAAUCGGUAUGGUUACAAAUCUCACCUUAUCUUAUAAUUCAUUGGCUUUAAGAUAAGUAAUUCAAAGUAGUUUCCGCAUACGAACUACAGUACUAAAUCAUUUUCUCCUUGCAUUCACUUUGUGAUCUUUUCACAUAAACGGUAAUGUGUAAACUAUAUUUUGUUAAUGAUAGUCACACUUGGGAAGAAUACACACUUUUACAACAAACAAACAUAUUGAACUUUGAUGCCUUAGUAGAAGGCUACUUUUAGUAGAAAAUAUAUGAUUUUCAAAGGAGAUACAAUUACUUACACAAACAUUUACAUUGUACAUUUACCAACAUAUUCUUCAAACUUAUACUAACAUGUAUUACAAACAUUUACAAAUUUGUACAUCAAACACUUACAAACAUUUUCAUACAAACAAUGACAUUAAAUACUUAUGAACUCACCAGCUUUUAUGCUAAUAAAAUAUUUCAAAAUAACAGUCGACCAGGUUUUGAGAAGAUGGAGCUCGUUCAAGACUCAUCUCUUAUUUUGAUUUACAUUUUUGAGUGUCUUAUAAACUUCACAUAACACACUUGUAUCAAAUUAUAUUAUUAAUGCAAUGGAUGAUGUUGUUGCUUGUUUAUUACUAUGCUUUGUUGUGAUACUGUACAUGACGUCCUCCACCUCAGAACGUUUACGCCGUUCUGGUUUUGGGGUGUGACAGAUUGGUAUUAGAGCAUCAUUUAUAGUGAAUCAAGUAUAUCAACCCAUAAAAGAUAUACGAACUAUCAACACAACGGGAUUAAAAUACACUGACCAAGAGUUUAUACUUUUAAAUACUAAAAUAUUUAACUAAGUAUACAUACUUGCAUUCAUACUAAAAUCAGAACAAAAGUAUUGCGAUUGUUGAAUAUCACAAGUAGGCUUGGGGAUGUAUGGUCAGUCCUGGGAGUGACAUUGCCUAAUCAACUAUGUUGGUCCGAUGAGUGAUUAUCAUAUUCCUGAGAAUGGUUGUGAUAUGGCAACAAGUCUAAAAACUUACCAACAAUACUACAAUGAAAACAUUAGAACAAAACGUAAACUUAAAAUACUAUAGGAGUAUUUUGUGUUACCAUAAUUACUUAUCUGAGAACUAAAAAGGUCUUUAUUGGUAGGUUAAUAGUUGUUAAGUGUAUAAGCUAAGGUUAUAUGUAACUAAGAUGUCCUAGACUUAGAAUCUGUGAUCUUUUUCUACUCCUUGUUCCUUGUUUGGUUGCGGGUUUAGAAUUAGGGUCACUUAUUUGAAGGUCUAUCUUGUUUUGAUCACAUAUAACUGGUAUGCCCUAUGCAGGUAUUGAAGUAACUAAUAAAGAUCAUCUUAUAAUUAUCUAGUUGGUACGCCUAUUAAUUACUUCUUUAUCCCUAUUCUCGCGUAGAUAACAUGGCUGGAUUCCACCCCCACGAUGACCUGUACUUCCCAAACCAAGGCAAUGCCGGAUGGCUUGAAGAAGAGCCAGGAGAUGACUAUCCAAUCCCUUUGGAUGAUCACCUCGCAGAAUGCUUUUCGGACGGUUGUGACUCCAAGCCAGAAGUUGAGAACCUACCCCCUAUGAAUCUUGUUCCAAAUCCUAACCCUCUUCUGGCUUUUCAAGGCCCAGAGCCUCCAUGGGUGGAAAACUUGGAAACAUGGAGCCAAGAGCAGAAUCAGCCCAUGUCAUUCAAUGGAGACCGAAGCCUUUAUGACCUGAGUGAAGGAGUCCCAACAGAUAGGGUCUUGCUAAUCCUAGUCCGUAGAGUUGCCCGAAACGAAAUUUAGGGCAGGACAGCUCUCCAUCGAAUCAUGGAAGUUAAUGCCAAUGCGAGAAUGCAUACCAUCCACACCAUUCAUUUGGAAGAUGCUCAUGAGAGAUCUAGGAGAGACCAUGAGGCCCUGCAGCAAGAGCUAGCUAAGACUCGGGCUGAAGUCAUGGAGCUCCGAGUACGUCAAAGGGUGUACAAAAGACACCUGCUUGAUAUGGAGCGCCAGCUGGCUGAACUAAGGGUUCACCCGACGGAUAACCGUCACCAGUAGGAGAUACUCUACCCUUCUUUCCUUGGUUUAAGGAAUAGUUUUCCUAUCUAUGCUCCAAGUAGCACUUUCCUUUGUAAUUAUUCUGGUACUGUAAGUACUUUUAGUUAGGCCUUUAUGUUGUCAAAACUUUUCUUCUUCGGAUAUGAUGUAAGGCCUGCUUCUAGGUCAAAUUUUCCGUACUUAUUUCAUCUUAAAUAUCAAUUGUAACGCCCGCAGAUCCGGGCUAGUCAAUUUAGAGGCAAUAAGUGUCGAAAAUGACUUUUCGGCAAAAUAUUAUUUAUAAUAAAUAGUCUUAACCAAUUUGUAGAAUAUGUCUCAAGGUUUCCGUACAUAUAAAGAACGCUGAAAUCCGAGUUAUAACGAAUAAGUUAUGGCCCGUCGAAGUUUUACGGCAAAACCGGCACGACACCGGGAAGCGUAAAUAGUAAAUUUAUGAUGGAGCGAUUUUUAGCCUUAGCGAUCUAAACCAAAGUUGUAGUAUAUGUUAAAUCGAGAACAUCCAUAAAAAGAACGCCCAAAUCUGACUUCGUAUGCAAGAGUUAUGAUUUUUCUAAGUUUGAAGGCUGAUACGCUAUAGGGGGUGACGUGUCACCACCAGAAUUGGACACGUGGCACCACCAAAAGGCUGCCACAUGCCCCAACUCGGCGUGUAGGUCCUCCUACUCGACGAGUCCAUCAGGAAUUCAGCCUAUAAAUAGAGGUUCCGGUUUCCUCCAUUUCCCACACCUUUCCCCACUUCUUUCUCUCUCUAAACUCUCUCUCUAAGCCCCCCUAACCCCCCAAAGCCUAGGGUAACUCCCUAGCAUGAGGCGGAAGCCCCGAAGCGCCCGAAGGCUCUGAGAAAAGAGCCUUUCGGCUCGGGAAAGCUGCUCCAGCGAAGCCCGGUUUUGCGAAAAACUCGAUGUAAGUGAGUUACGCCUAUGCUAUUUUUAAUAUAGCUUCUAAUUAAUUAUAGUAAUGUUAUUAGGACCUUAUAAUAAGUACUUGGGCUAUUAUUAUAGGUUAUAUAAAUAUCUUUUAACGUUUAUAUAAUAGUAAUAAUAGCUAGACUAUUAAUUAGUCUCGGUGAAUAUUAGAUUAAACUCUAGUGAUAAUGAUACUAGGUUUUGUCCGAGGAAAAUUGUUUUAAGAGUAACGAAGUGCUGUCCGAGUACCGAGUCACCACCUUACCAAGUGAGUGAAUAGUUACUUUCAUCUUACACAUAGAUAUGAAGUAUUUAAUAUAAAUUACGUGCUAUGUGUGCAUAUUUUCUGAAUACUUGUUGUUUAUGCUGGGUGAGAGAUUUUUAUACAUGUUUUAAAUGUUUUAAACUGUAUACGUAUUUUUAUAUCUACAAAAUAUGUUGGAUAAAACAUUGGUAGAUGAAGGACGAGGGGUGAAAUUUGAAAUAGAGGAAUAUUAGUGGUAUGGACCUAGUGCCCUAUAGAUGAACAUUAGCAGCAAUGGACCUAGUACCAUAUAGAUGAGCACUGGCAGCUGCGCCACAACCUGUAGAUGUUGUUGAUCUACGAUAAACAUCCCAACAUCUGCGCUCUAAGGAUAAUAUCAGCAGCUGCGCCUAAUAGAGAACAUUAUAACCUUGGCAGUAGCGUCUAAAGGACAAUACCGGAAGAAGCGCUUCAUAUAGAAUGUCACAACUAUGGCAGGUGCGCCUAAGUGAUAGAACUAGCAGCUGUGCUUGACAGUUGUGUCAUUGACAACGAUGGACUUCGUACCUAUUCCUUAGGAAAAUCCUUAGGAAUGAAUGAACGAGAAAUAGCUGAUUCUUAGGGUAGAUCCUUAAGAUUAAAGAAGAUAAUGAGGAUGGGUAAUUGGGUUAACUGUUUGAUGAUUAAACUUAAUAAUUAUAUUAUUGUCGGUUGAAAACCCUAUGUACUCACCAGGUUUCCCACCCUGACCCACUCAGUUUAUUUGUAUCACAUGUGUCGAUACGAAGCUACUUUACAUUGAGAGAUUUAAAAGAGAUGUAGAUUACUAGUGUAAAUAAAUGUAAGUUCUGUUUAUGCUUAUGUUUCUGUAUUGACGAUGGCAUCCCAAAUGUUUUAAAUGAAUAAAAAAAAUACUUUUCUUCAGAAUUUCUUUGAUAACGUAUUUAUGAUGUUUUACUGGGAACAAAUUCCGCAACAUUUUUAUUAAAAUAGGCACUCUGAUUUUUAUAAAACAUAAACAAAAUCGGUCUUUUCUGGCCAUGAAAAUGGGGAUGUCACAUCAAUGAUAUUGACAGUCGACUAAUUCCUGUGUCAAUCCUUGUUCAAAUACUUUCAUCCUACUAUCAAUAGAAUUCUAUCUAAAGCUCACUUUCGUCAAAUUAUUGAGCUGUGGUAAUUUAGCUCAAGGAUCACUUCCAAUUCUUGUCGAAGGUUGGAUCAUGUUAUCCACCAACUAAUGAUAGCCUAGUUCAAAAUAUCAAUCGUCUAGUGACCAUUCUAUGAACUUACUUCAAUGCUUUACCAGUACUGCAUCUUAGGGAAGUAGGUCAAACCAUUGAGAACAGUUUAACGAAAUAGAAAAUUUACAUUUAUGUAAAAGAAUAGAAUACAUCUAGUGCCGACCAUAAUCACUUACGAACUCCUUUUCUUUCGUACAACAGAAUCAUGUUGUCAUCCAGAAAUAGUCAGCCGAACGACGAAACCCCGAUCCUUCAUAUAGAAGCCGCGAUGUUCCAAGCUGCCGUAACAGCUGUUGUGACCGCUAUCAUGGCACAAUUCCAUUCUAACAACCUAAACGAGAAUAGAAAUAACAUCCACGUUUCAGAUCAAAGUAACCACCAAGGAAACCAACAAACGCCAACCCACGAGGGCACCUUAACACAGGAACGAAAGAGUAAGAAACGAAUAUUUUGGGAUAAGAAGAAGUGCAAAUCAUCCCAAAGGUCGGCCAAGAGACAACAACCAGUAGCAGCCUUUGCAGCCACGACAUAUGUAACUCCUACUACCAUUCCGACUAAUAUCCCAGUUGCCCCUAUCCCUGCAAGGCGUUAUGCCGGAAAUCUACCAAAAUGCACAAAGUGUAGUUACCAUCACCUGGGCGCCUGCCGAGUGUUGCAUUGUCAAAAAUGCAACAAGAACGGGCACACUACCCGAUUCUGUAGAGAACCUAUCCAUCACAUUACUUCAACCACCAACGUCGGAAUUAUUCGUAUAUGUCAUUUAUGUGGAGUGAUGGGACACUUCAAGAGGGACUGCCCAACAGAGAAGAAUGAUGGGGGAACAGGAGGAGUUUGACCUCAGAGUAACAAAAGGCACCAAAGGAUCCUACUAUAGUAUAGGUACACUUCCAAACAGCAGUAAUUAAUUAUACUCAUAAACUGUUAAAAACUAGUGCAACUCGAGUCUUACCUUUUUGCAAGAUCCUGUCAGUUAAGGGACUCUCGUGCUGCGUAUACUUGCUUUUGUAGUAUACCUUGUUCGCAACAGUAUUUUCAUAGAUAAAACUAAAGUACUGAAACUCUGUCAAAGUUGCACCAUUAUGUUUUUGUAACACCUUCCUGAAUUAGUCUAACGCCUUUUAUUCCGAGUAGUCCGACAUUAUCAUGUGACUUGAGUCCAUUCGAUCCUCACAAUAACAUCCUCGUGCGGAAAUCCUUUCCUUCGUAAUCUCCUUUCUAGCGAAGCUGUUAUUCCAGAACUCCGAGACACUCAUGUGUGGAAUAUCUUAGGUUUCAUAUCCUUCCCGAAGAAACCUCCUCGAAGUACCACUCGUACAGUUAAACCUAAUAGAGUUAAACCUAACCUUCUAAAAUUAUCUAAUUUAUGUAACAUGUAACCUAACAUAUUUGCUUGAUAGUUAACUAGUAUUAACUGUGGUUCCUAAAAAGCACAAAGAAAACAACAUUCAAGCAUCAAGUUCUAACCGACACACUGCCUAAGCUGGCCAUCCUAUCAUAUCAUCUGUACUCCAUACUAGCAUGCAGUUCUAGAUGCUUAUACAGUAGGCAUACAUAGAAAUCUCUCCUAACAUACAAGUCUGAGCAGAUCCUUAGCCCUUAAUCUAGCAUGCUAUACACAUAUUCACAUAUUGAAUAAAAAAAGUAUAGGUAUUUUGGGAAAUACUUACUUAGGCUUGACCGAUUCCACGCAUCACACCCUAUUUUUAUAUAAACCCUUUAGAAAAUCUUUCUUUUUUCUUACCAAUUCUUCAGUUUGAGUUCAAAUACACACUCGAGCUGUUGCUAGAAAGGUUAUUGACACUAGACAUAACCAAACCAACCCUAAUUAAUAAUUAGGGUAAUAACCCAUAAUCAAAGAUCCAAAACAUAUUCUCCUACUGAGGGUAAAAGACCAUUUUACCAUUACAGGUCCAAACCCAACCAAACAUGCCCAAGGCCCAAAAAUGGCCCAAGAGCCUUCCUGGGAGUUUGUCAUGCGUACUCUUACCUUACGCCUUACGUACUCGAUGUCCAUAUACAAGGCUUAACCCGUUACAUCAUGCGUACCCAGAGGUUAUGGCCUGUGUAAAUUUAUGUUGUCCAAAACUAACUUUUUAAGCUCUUAAUGCCUAAAGACUAAACCUCCAACUCAUCGAUCUUAAUCUUGGGAAGGUCUUAACUGAUAAAGUUGACAACUUUAAGCUUUUGCAUGACUUAAUAGAGCCCAAGACCAAACCCUAAGUCCAUAAUGCUCUUUAAUAACCUCAAGAUCUUGCAUAAGUGAGAAAUAACAACAAAAACUUCAUUUUUAAAAAAAGUAAUAAACUUGAGCUCUGAAGUAACUUUUACUCACAAGAAUCAAACCAUGAGACCAAAAACAUGCAAAUCUUAAAGCUAGUCUAGAUCUAAGCCAUAAAACCAUAAAGGUAAGAGCUUUAUACCUCCAGAAGCUUGCAAAGGAAAAGGAAACUCUGGAUCUAAAAGUUCCAAGCCCAACAAUCCUCGAUGGAACUUCUUCUUCGUCCACAAUGCACCAAGAACGCUCUAAAGGUCCAAAACAAGCUUUCAAGGGUUAGGGUUUCGAAAUGACAGAAUAAGGGAGUAGAGGUUGAAGGUAAGAAAUGUCUCAAGGACUUAAGGUUCUUUAAAUAUGGUCCAAACCCUACAAAUUAGGGUUUAAAAUCAGCCUGAGUACACCCUGCGUACUUCUCAUGUGUGCACAACAUACUCAAAAGAAUCUCGCCACCUUUUAAUGAAUUACGCUCAGCGUACCCAUGGGGUACGGUCCACGUAAGGAACGGAAAUGCAAACUUUUUAUAAUUUAAGCCAUAAUUGAAAAGUACUUGGGAACACGGUGUUACACUCAUCUUCACCUUCCAUAAAGUGAAAUCAUUCGAACCAUUAAGUUUCUUCAAAUCAAACUUAUGAGAUGUAAUCUUCAAUUAGCAAAACAAACUGUUAUGAUACCACUUGUUAUGGAAUAAAUGAGAAAACGUGCAGAAAAACACAAUAUAAAGACACAUUAUUUAACGUGGUUCAGUCAAGGUGACCUACGUCCACAUAGCAUGAGAGAUUAUUCUUAUUCAUACAAUUUAAAUCACUACCACAAUUCUAAGGCCCGAACACAUUUGACAAUGCAUGGGGUGCACCGUGUCCUUGAGUCCUUGGGAGAGCAUCUUGGUGUCUUGGGGGCACAUCUUGAUGCCCAAGGCGGGCCACUUGUUGAAGCUUCAUCGGGAUGCUCCAGAAUGCCACCAAAUGCUCAAAACUUAAUUUCCAAAAGUUCAAGUCACAUUUAACACAAACUUUUCAACGAACGGUUCAUAAAUGUUUCGUUCAACCCUUAAUUCGUUUACAACCCUACUUACAUGUUCUAACUAUCGGCUAAUUUAACCCUACUUACAUGUUCUAACUAUCGCCUAUUUUAACAAAAAAAAAAUGAAUUUUCCACUUAAUUAAUAUAUCCUAUGCCAUAAAAUUUGGUUUCUCAAACUUUCUUUGGUGCAUUUAGCAUUAUCAUCGCGUCGAAUUGCGGGCCCUAAUUUCCGCAUAGAUUAUCCCUUUUACAAGUUGGGUACUUGGGUUGCUCUGCACCGAUACCUGAUCGAUGGCAGUGGAAUUGGGGAGACAGACCGAGACAUCCGUCGUUGAUCAGCUAAAUAGAGUCACGGAGAUGGAAAAGCCGGUUGGAAGUCGGCCAGUUUGGGGUGAAAUUGAGCUAGCCGAAAGGUAAACUUUCAAUAUUCAUACCUCUUAUCUUGUAUACCCUAAUCAUCUUUACAUAUUUCCGCAAUUCUCUAUUACGAUCAAAUUCCACUCGUAAGAACUUUGUUACUCCUUUCAACAUACCAAUUUUGACUCCCUAAAAGCCGCUAGCAAUUUUUCGGGCAAGUCUACUGUCUGGAAGGCCUAAAUCGAUCAUGUUUGGAGAGGGUUACUAUACAAUUUACAUCGAACUGUAGAUUAAUUGGAUCAAAUAUGCUAUAUACCAUUUUUAUUCGAUUAAAAGAUACAAAUAUCUGCAAAGUAAUGCACGAUUCUAAUAUAUACUUCACCACCUUGCGAUGCAGCUACCUAGUUUGCUCUAUGUUUGAAGAUGCAUCAUCAUCAGCUUCUUCUGUUCUUAAACGUUUAUGUGACAAAGAACACAUCAACACAGUUGUAGAUGAUGAUAUUGAGCUUAAUGACAUGCUUGAAUCAGCUGGUAUGGUGUUUGUGCAGUCCUUGAAGGAACUUGGAAGGUAUUCAUCUUUAUAAUUGCUCCUUCUAACAAUUGUUAAGAAGGGUAAAAUAGUCAUUUUACAUGGAACAUGGACCAAAUUAGUUAUGAAACUAAAAAAAACAACCAUCAACAAGUAUUAACAUGCAUUUAACAAUGAUUUCUGUUUUCCAGGACAUUGGAAAUAAUAAGUGAGUUAACUCAGCUGUUCGAUUCACUUGCUGCCAUUCCAAUCCAAGUUUUCCUUGCUGGGUAUUGCUCAAUCAUUGCAUUUAAGUAUAAAUUAUUAAUGAUUUCUUUUUUUUUUUAAUAUAUAUAUUUAUGUAUUUAAGUAUAAAUUGUUAAAGUAUGUUUAUGUAUAUGCAAUUGAAUAAUUGAUUUGAAGCAAUGAGCCCUAAUUCAAACAAAACAUACUUUUUCAGGGUAUGUUUUCAGAUGCAAGAAGACCCUCAAGGGGCUCAAAAAAAUCUUGAGGAAUUUUUAAGCAAAUGGAGAUUUGUUGAUGAAAAAUAUUAUAUUCUAGCAAGUUUAGAGACAAAAACAAAUACAAAAUCUUAUAUGGAAGGAUGUGGCAAUCGAUUUGUUCUAGAAGUAGAUACAUAUCUUCAAGUUGUUGAGGCAUAUAUAACACUUCUCUCAGGAACUAUAAAAGGCACAAAUCUUGCAAUUUCUUGGGUUGAGAAAGCUGCAUUACCCGAGCAUAUACGCCAGGUAACCUUUCUAUGGCUAUUUUCGAUGAUCAAAAUGAGAAGGUUAUGUUUGGCGUAGUAGCUGAAAAACUAGCUAUUAACUGAAGAGCUAGCUGAUAGCUGAAAAAAAUAGUUGUUAGCUGAAGAGCUAGUUGCUAGCUUAUAAGCUAGCCGAAAAAAAAUGACGUUUGGUAAAAACUAGCAGAUAAACUAGCUGAAAGAUAUAAAAUGACAUAAAAGGUCAUUGAGAAAAAUAUGAUGUUUAUAAUUAAUUAAGGGUAUAUUUGGAAAAUUAAAAAAAAAAACUUCUGAAAAGCUAGUCCAAGUAGCUUUUUAAAAAGCUAGUUUUUAAGCUACUUUUUGGCUCGCCAAACUUAUUACCUUAAAAAACUAGAAAAAUAAUCUAGCUGUGGCGCACCAAAUAUAGCCUAAGACUUAAGAGUGAGUCCAAUGGAAUUGGGGAGGGAAUGGAAUGGUUAAUUCCAAUGGAAUUGGAUUCCAUUGAAUCGGCAAACAAACAUGUCAUGUCAUGGAAUAGAAUCUCAAAUUCUAAUUCCAUUGGAUUCUACCAUAAACCGAACCAAUACCCUUAAAUGAGUAUUUGUUUGGUUUAUUUUUCCCUUUGGACACCUGAUAUUUCCUAAAUUACCCUCGUAUGGUUUCAAUUUUAGGAGCUUUUACGGCGUUUACAUUCCAUUCACUCUUCCAAGGAUACAGUAUCUCAAGCCUCCACGUCAGCAUUGGUAACCGACGAAAAUGUAACCUCAAGAUCUUCAAAAACCUUGGAAUCCGCGAAACAAAUCGAUGCAAAACAAGCAAUUUUAAGAUAUUCCGGACAACGUGUUCCUACAUUAUGGUGGUUCCGGACCCUUAAUGUAAAGUUUGGUGGGGUCCGGUUUGCAGUAUCAAAUGGAAGUAUCUUGAUCACGAUUUUCAUGCUUCUCACAUACUAUUAUAUGAGGAGGAAGAAAUAUACGAUAACAAGGUAUAACUAUAACAUUUUAAUAUAAACUAUAUUUUAUAAAUGUUAUUAAAAUUCAUUCCAUUCAUACACAACAACCACACAUAUCACAUUAUUGGAAUAGAUCACAAAACUACAGAAAAUGGUCAAUAUUUGAUUUGGUAUAUAAUUAAUUUUUUUUAUAUAUAUUUGUGGUUGCAGUAUUCUCAAAAAACAGGCCUUGUUUGUGAAGAAAUCUGUGAUAGACUUAUGGCAACUUGCAUUUUCAUACCAAGUAAAUCCAUUAGCUGCAGUUGAACCUCUCAUAACUCGCUAAUUAUAAUGUUAAAUUAUUUGUUUACAACACUUUACUCAAUAAUGUUAAUUAUUUUUAUCAUCCAAAAUCUGCAAUUAAUAACAAUGUACUUUUAUAUAUAGCAUUGUAUUUUUUUUUAUUAGGACAUUAUACUUCGAAAAAUCUAUGCAAUUUUAGUGAAAGUUUGUUUGUAUCUUGAUGAAUUUAAUUUGGUAAAUUUUUCAAAAAGAAGAAAUGAAAAUAGAAUACUUAUACAAUAAACGACAAAUCAAAUAGAGUUGUUUCUUGAAUUUAAUCAUAUUGCACCAAAGUUGGUUGCAAAAAUAUAAAAUAAAAUCUUAGAGUAAAUUAUGGGAAUGGUCUUUUCAAUAAAUCUUAGAGUAAAUUACGGAAAUGGUCCCUGUGUAUGACGGAGAAUUGCAGUUUCAGUCAAAAAGGUUUUUAUAACAAUUUCGUUCUUAAGUAUGAGAUUUGUUGAAGACUUGGUUUCACACCGACUCAAUUAAAAACUGAGGUUAAAUUCUUGUAAAAUAUUAUUAUUUAAUAUUCAAAAAAAAUAUAUUUACACUGAAUUGAAAAUUAUUAUUAUUAUUAUAAUUAUAAUUUUUUUAAUAAAAUCGUUAAAAUCAAUUAUAUGAAAAAGAGAUAAUCACUACAAUGAUUUCAGAUUUUGAAAUUAUGUAAUGUGCAAUAUUUGUCAUUUGCACCAAAUAAAUGUAAAAAAAAAUCAAUUUCUCUCCUCACUAUAUGACAUCUUUUUAUGCUUUUGUAUCAUAGUGUGCUCCAUAAUUGGUAAAUUUGUUAUUUUGUUGUUAGAUUCACAUCAAAAAGUAGCAUUUUGGACUCUAUAUGUAUACUAAGGUAUUUUCAUAACUGAUAACCAUUCACAACUGUAACAACCCAAUUUUCACGUCCAAAAAUUUCAUUUUUAAAUCAAUACUUUGGAAAACAUUUGCAAUUAAAACAUUGUCUGAUCAAAUCAUUUCACAAUCAUAUAUCAUGUUUGAAAACCAAAAUACGAAAUCAACCAAAUGUCAGAGUACAAAUCUCAGAACAAUCUCGUAAGGCGGAAAACAGUGUGUGUAUGAUGUGCCGCUACCGCGCCAGCUCCUUCCCCUUCGAUGAAGAGGUACCUGAAACCAAAACUGAAAACUGUAAGCACCAAGCUUAGUGAUUUCCCCCAUCGUAGCACAUAACAUACAAUCAUAUAACAUACAAUACUUGUCAGACAUUUUUGGGGUGCCCGACCUACUUGGUACGACCAUUCUGGGGUACCGACCUACCCGUGCGGCCAUUCUGGGGUGCUGACUACCCUUCGGUCCUAACAACCGAACCUCGGGGACUGUUUCACCCCAUACUACUACUACUAUCGUAUAUCCUAACAUAACAUAUUAUCAGACAUAUCUGGGGUGUCUGAACUACCCUUCGGUCCUAACAACCGAACUCGGGGGCUGUUCCCCUCCUACUACCCCUAACACAUAUAACAGAUCACGCUAGCAUAUAAUCAUAACAUCACAUACUGUCAGACGUAUCUGGGAUGUCUGACUACCCUUCGGUCCUAACAACCGAACUCUACUACUAUAGCACAACAAGCUAGCAUAUAACAUAUCAGGUAGUAGCAAACCUAGAUGAUAUCACAAAGACAAUCAUCUAACACACAACUCCUACUGGUGGGCGCAUUGUGGCCGUAGACCCACCGCUACUGGAAGGUAACCCACCUCGAAGUAGCUGCUGAUCUGCGCGGGAACUGUCUGUCUGCUGCUGCUGCUCCGAAAAUCCUCCGGCUGUAAUUCCCACAAAACACUCAAUCAAACACUGCUAACUCUCCUUAGGGUAAAAUGACCAUUUUACCCCUGACCAAGUGAAAAGUCAAAGUCAAAGUCAAACUUCCAGUUGACCCGACUCGUCGAGUUGGCUCGCUAACUCGUCGAGUCCCUAUCCAGUCGAUUGUCCUCUCUCCCGUCCCUACUCGUCGAGUUAGGCAUUGACUCGACGAGUUCUCCUUCUAUACAAAUAUCCAAUGGUCCUUCAUCUGACUCGCCGAGUUGUAUGAACAACUCGUCGAGUUCAUCUUCAUCCGAUGAACACUCUGGUUUGUGACUCGCCGAGUUGUAUGAACAACUUGUCGAGUCUGUUCUUGAGGCAAGAAGAUUGCCUUGGACUCGCCGAGUCAGGGAAUGGACUCGCCGAGUCCCUCCAUCAUUGAGUCUGGCAUCCGACUCACUAAGUCCACCUAUGGCUCACUGAUCCCACUCGGCAUAACUCAAAAGGGGAAAAUCAGGGACUCGCGACUCGAAUCGUCGAGUCCGAAGAACGACUCGCCGAGUCUCAUGCAUGAAAUCACUGUAUACUCGAUUUUGCUUGAAUCCAGUGCAUUCUAUCCAUAGAUCUGGGUUCUUAGGGCUUGAUUAACACGUAAAGUUUCCAACUUUACGUGUAAAUAGACACUGAUGAAGGUUUUAAGGCUCAAAAUACACUAAAAGAGUAGAUCUAGGGUUUUCAUGCAAUAAGGCUCCACAAAGGCAGUAGAUGUGAGCUUUUGAAGCUCAAACCUAGCUAGAUUCAAAGGCCAUUCCACUCAAUAUGAUCUCUAUAUUACAAUCAAGCUAGUAAGUGGAAAAAGAUGGCUUAAAUGGGGUUUCUAAUAGAAAAUCAUCAUGGAAAUAGAAGAGAUCCGAAAUAUAUCUCAAUGAACUCUGGAUUGAGUUCUAGAUCCUUGCUCUUCUCCUUCUCCUUGGUCCUUCCUUGCUUCUCUUCUUCAAACUUCAAGGAACAAGCACACAAACACUCAAAUCACAAAGGGGAGGGUUAGGUUUUGGUAAAGGAUGCUCUGAGGGUGAAGGGGACGAGCUUGGGGCACAUCAGGGGGGUUUAAAUAGGGUGCAAACCCUUGAAAUUAGGGUUUCUUCCAGACUGGAAGACUCGCCGNAUUUCUUCCAGACUGGCGGACUCGCCGAGUCGCCAACUUAAACGUGCUCGAUAUCCCAUCUCUACUCGGCGAUUCGGGCCUAUCACUCGUCGAGUCCAAAGCUAAGAAUGCAAAAUACUUAGAUAAAUCAUAUAUACCCGGAACCAGGUGCUACAAAUGUCCCCCACUUAUUUUAGACUUCGUCCUCGAAGUCUGCUACUUACUCCUGGAAAAGCUCUGGAUAAUGCUCCCUCAUCUCUUCUAUCGGGUCCCAAGUCCACUCCAAACCCUUCCGGUGCUAUCAUUGCACCUUCGCUAGCUCCACCCUCUUGUUCCUCAGAUCCUUCGACUUCCGGUCAAGGAUUGCUAUUGGCCGCUCAAUGUAAUUCAGGCUGUCAUCAACCUGAAUAUCCUCUAAAGGCACCACUGCUGAGUCGUCCACUAGUCACUUCCGCAGCUGCGAGACGUGGAAGGUGUUGUGGAUCUGACUGAGUUCGACUGACAGAUCCAGCCUGUACGCCACCUUGCCCGCCCGGGCUAGAACCCUAAAGGGUCCAACGUACCUGGGACCCAAAUUGCCCCGUUUCCUGAAUCGGAUGACGCCCUUCCAUGGCGACACCUUCAGGAGAACCAUAUCCCCGACCUGGAACUCCAGGUCUGAUCGGCGCUUGUCGGCAUAGCUUUUCUGCCGACUAUGUGCAGUCUGAAGCCUACUCCGAACCUGCUGCAUCCUCUCAGUCGUCUUGAGCACCACUUCGGUGCUCCCCAUGACCCUCUGGCCAACUUCGCCCCAACAUAUCGGGGUCCUGCACCUUCUCCCGUACAACAUCUCGAAGGGAGGACGGUCAAUACUCGUGUGGUAGCUGUUGUUGUAUGAGAACUCAACCAAAGGAAGAUAAGUAUCCCAGCUACCACCGAAGUCUAACACACCCGCCUGCAACAUAUUUUCCAGAGUCUGGAUGGUCUGCUCACUCUGACCAUCUGUCUGCGGGUGAAAAGCGGUGCUAAAAUGCAGACGAGUACCCAGCUCUUCAUGGAACUUCUUCCAAAACCUGGAAGUAAACCGUACGUCUCUAUCUGAAAUCACGGAGACUGGCACUCCGUGCCACGCCACCACCUCUCGGAUGUAGAUAUCGGCCAACUUCUCUGCCGAGACACUCUCCUGGAUCAGUAUGAAGUGGGCGCUCUUGGUCAACCAAUCCACGAUGACCCAUAUAGAAUCCACUCCCCUUGCGGUCCUGGGAAGCUUGGUGAUAAAAUCCAUCGUGAUAUCUUCCCAUUUCCACUGCGGGAUAUCCAACGGCUGCAUCUUGCUGUGUGGUCUCUGAUGCUCGACCUUGACCUUCCUGUAGGUCAAGCACCGCUCUACGUACCAUGCCACAUCCCGCUUCAUGCAGGAUCACCUAUAGUUUAGACGAAGAUCUCUAUACAUCUUCGUCGCCCCGGGAUGAAUGGAGAAUCGGGAUUUGUGCGCCUCCUCCAGCAGAACCUGGCGCACACCCCCGUGAUACGAUACCCACACCCUACGGUGUAGUGUCAAUAAUCAUUGACUAUCAUUAUCGAAUGAGGAAACCUGACCCAAUANNNNNNNNNNNNNNNNNNNNNUCUUCCGAUGUUCCUCCUUCAUAGCCUCCUGCUGAGCCUCCCGAAUCUGAUCUAACAGUGGAGUCACCACUGUCAUCCUCAUACACACGUCUCUGAUCGGCGCUGCCUUGCGGCUAAGCGCAUUGGCCACCACAUUGGCCUUCCCUGGGUGGUAAAGGAUCUCGCAGUCAUAAUCCUUUAUCACGUCCAACCACCGAUGCUGCCUCAUGUUCAGAUUCGGCUGGUCCAUGAGGGACCUCAAACUCUUAUGGUCCGUGUAAAUGGUACACCAGACUCCAUAGAGGUAAUGCCGCCAAAUCUUGAGGGCGAAGACAACCGCCCCCAACUCUAAAUCGUGCGUCGGGUAGUUCGCCUCAUGAGGCUUCAGCUGCCUCGAAGUGUAGGAAAUGACAUGCCCUCUCUGCAUCAGCACCGCGCCCAACCCUGAAAUGGACGCGUCACAGUAUACAACAAGAUCCUCUACGCCCUCUGGCAGGGCUAAGAUUGGCGCUUCGCACAAUCUCUGUCUCAAAGUCUCAAACGCUGCCUUCUGCUCAGGCCCCCAUCGAAAGACCACGACUUUCUUCGUCAGCCGCGUCAGGGGUACGACUAUCUUGGAGAAAUCCUGAAUGAAUCUCCGAUAGUAGCCCGCUAAUCCUAGGAAACUCCGAAUCUCAGAUGGAGACUUCGGAACUUCCCAUCUCAUCACAGCCUCUACUUUGGCCGGGUCCACUGAGAUCCCGUUCUUGUUGACGAGAUGUCCGAGGAACUGCACCUUGUGCAACCAGAACUCAUACUUGGAGAACUUAGCAUACAAGUUCUCCCUCCUCAAAGUCUCCAGAACUUCUCGCAGAUGCUCCUCGUGCUCCUCCUGCGUCUUGGAGUAGACCAAGAUGUCAUCGAUAAACACUAUCACAGACCGGUCUAACAUCGUUCUACACACGCGGUUCAUGAGGUCCAUGAAUGCGACAAGAGCAUUGGUGAGCCUGAAGGGCAUCACCACAAACUCGUAAUGGCCAUAACGUGUCUGAAACACGGUCUUCUGCACAUCCUCCUCUCUGACCCUCAUCUAAUGAUAUCCUAAACGCAGAUCAAUCUUGGAGAACCAAGAUGCUCCCUGAAGCUGGUUAAAGAGGUCAUCAAUCCUCGGGAGUGGGUAACGGUUCUUCAUUGUUACCUUGUUCAACUCCCGAUAAUCUAUACACAUUCGAUGUAACUCGUCCUUCUUCUUCACAAACAGAAUUGGGGCUCCCCAGGGUGAACUGUUCGGUCUAAUGAAUCCUUUGUCUAACAGCUCCUGCAGUUGUGUAGACAACUCCUGCAUCUCAGGAGGAGCCAACCGAUACGGUGUCUUGGCUGUCGGAGCCGCACCAGAGACUAGGUUGAUCCUGAACUCCACCUGUCACUCCGGAGGUAUCCCGGGAAGCUCCUCUGGGAACACAUAUGCGUAAUCUCGCACCACCGGAACCUCGCUCACCAUCGCCUUACCCGCCUCACGGGUGUCCAUAACAUAUACGACAUAUCUUGCACAACCCUGCUGAAGGUAGCGCCUAGCUCUCGCUGCUGAACAUACCGCUGGCCCUCGAUGUGGCCUCUCGCCCUGAACUACCAACUCUCCCCACUUGGGGUCCUGAUCCGCACCAGCUGCUGAGCGCAAUCUAUCAUCGCCCCAUUGGGGGUGAGCCAAUCCAUGCCUAUAAUCACCUUGUUCCCACACAACGGAAUGGGAACCAAGUCUACCAAGUAGCGCUCCUUAAAUAGCCUCAGAACGCAAUUUCUGAACACUGCUAAUGCUCGCACCGAUCGAUCAUCGGCAAUCUCUACCUCUAAAGGGCAAUCCAACAUGCCCAAAGACUCAGUGAAGUUCUUGCUAAGCACAAGAGAAACAAACGAUCGGGUGGCACCCGAAUCAAACAACACCUGUACUGGGAUACCGUUCACAUGGAACGAUCCUAACGCAUAUACACAGAGUACAUAUCAAUAUCAUAACAUCAUAUAAAUUAGAGGGAAAGAAUCGUACCCGUCACUACAUCGGGUGCGACGCGUGCCUCCUUGGUAGUCAGCUGAAAUGCCCGAAUCCUUACCACUGGAGCCUCUGCCUUGCCCUACCGGCCAUCAGUAAUCUGUAGGGUCGCUGGAGCUGGCACCUUCACUGGCGUUGCUGCUGUCAACUGGGGGCAAUUGGCCUUCUUGUGGCCCCUCUAGUUGCAGUGGAAACACAGCAACUCAGACGUCUGUAUCACAGGUGUAGGGGUGGUACAAUCCCUGCUGAAGUGCCCCAUCUUGCCGCACUUAUAGCAGCCUGGCGAUCCCACUCUGCAUGCUCCCUCAUGUGGCCUGCCACAUUUCCUGCAGCGGCCCGGUCCUGACUGGCCCUUCGGCCUACCAUAUGAUACCUUGGGCUUCUUCCCCGAAGCCCCUCCUGUCUGCCCCCUCUGACAUCCUCUUCCGGGUGUGCUCCAGAUCUAUCUCCCUCUCCCUCGCCCUGGCAAUCAUAGAGUCCAAGGUAGGGCAAGCUGAAAAACUGACAUGCUCCCGAAUGUCGGCUCGCAACAUGUCGUGGUAGCGGGUCCUCUUCAUAUCCUCAUCUCCCGCAUAGUGGGGCACCAAUAACGCCCUCUCUCGAAACUUGGCGGUGAUUUCCGCCACAGUCUCUGUUGUCUAUCUCAUGUCCAAGAACUCUCUAGCUAACUGCUGGAGCUCCACCGCAGGUGCGAACUCCGCUCUGAACCGGGUCACAAAGUCUGGCCAUGUCAUAGCCUCAACAGUCGAUGCUCCCAAUGAGUCACCAACAGACUCCCACCAGUCUUUAGCUCUGUCUCUAAAACACCCUGCUGCAAACCUCACCUUCAACCCGUCGGGGCAGAAGCUACUCAACUAUGUAGACUCAAUGUCUGCAAUCCAUCGUCUGGCAGCAAUGGGGUCCUUCGCCCCACGGAAAUCCGGCGCACCACUGCCCCUGAAGUCCUUAAAGGACAAUGUGCGAGAUCCUGACUGGCCAGAUGUCAAGUCACUCUUGAACGCCCUGAGGUGGUCCACCAUCAGCUCAACUAUCCCUUCCUUGAUCGACCUGAAGAUGAUGGGGCUCGACUCAAGGAUGCCUCUGGUGAUCUCUGACGCGAUGAACUCGUGUAGCCCCUUAUCUACUAGCUCGGAACCUGAUCCCGAACCCGGUCCCUCUCUUGAACUGCCAACUGCUGGCCUUGGACGUAGUACCACCAUUUUGUAAUACAUAAUAACAACCAUUAGUGAUACUGAUACCUCUUGAGGGAUCACAUCCACUACAAGUUCCCUGGUCUUGUCUCAGCCUUCCUCAGUUCGGGUACGGAUCCUCUGCUUUCAGUAGUACGGGCCCAUACUACCUUCCACAUCUAUCCGUACCUUCUUUAAGGACUGCCUUGACUCCACCAGAUCCCUUUUACCACUGCUGAUCAUUGCUAUCCUCAUCCUAGGCUUACCCUAGGGAAAAAUCUCUGACUCCACCUAAUCCGGUCCUCAGCUACUGAAGGCCUCCUUGUAAUGCCAAUUAGUCAUUACCUGAAUACCAUCAGAUGCAGUGAGGCUCGGAUAAUCCUUCGAGUAAAAGACUCGUCCCUACAACGGUUAGACUUAAACGAGAGCUGCGCAAUAAGGUCAAAUCCAGCACUCUGAGAUUAUUCAACCCUAACCACAUGUGACGUGAUGUAUUCACCUAAUGGAUAAAUCCCAUCACUCAGAGUCCCACAAAGCACAAAGCAAGCAGCAUUCGGAUGCAGGAAAACUACUCAAACAAAUAUGCUCUCAUAAUGAGAUGCUGCACUAUCAUACAAUGCUAAGCUCAUACUAUCAGGCAUACCCUAAACAGGCUAUCCUACUACUGUCUACUGAAUUCUAGCAUGCAAUUCUCAUAAGCUAAAACACAUAAAGCAGACACAUAAUGCAUCACUCCUAGAUCCAUAGUCCUAUUCUAACAUGUUGUUCUACUGAAACUGUUAAACAUAACAUAAACUUGUAUGGGUACUUUGGGGAAUACUUACUUGAGCUCGACCGGUCGCGCACAUCACACACUUCAUUCUUUCUUAAAACUCUUCACUUAACUUUUAGAAAACUUUUUCCUUUGCGAAAUCUUUUAAUCCCUCGAUUUGAGUUCAGACACCCCCGAAAGUGUGUCCAAAUCCCUCAAACCAGGGCUCUGAUACUAACUUGUAACAACCCAAUUUUCACGUCCAAAAAUUUCAUUUUUAAAUCAAUACUUUGGAAAACAUUUGUAAUUAAAACAUUGUCUGAUCAAAUCAUUUCACAAUCAUAUAUCGUGUUUGAAAACCAAAAUACGAAAUCAACCAAAUGUCAGAGUACAAAUCCCAGAACAAUCUCGUAAGGCGGAAAACAAUGUGUGUGUGUGUAUGAUGUACCGCUACCGCGCCAGCUCCUUCCCCUUCGAUGAAGAGGUACCUGAAACCAAAACUGAAAACUGUAAGCACCAAGCUUAGUGAUUUCCCCCAUCGUAGCACAUAACAUACAAUCAUAUAACAUACAAUACUUGUCAGACAUUUUUGGGGUGCCCGACCUACUUGGUACGACCAUUCUGGGGUACCGACCUACCCGUGCGGCCAUUCUGGGGUGCUGACUACCCUUCGGUCCUAACAACCGAACCUCGGGGACUGUUUCACCCCAUACUACUACUACUAUCGUAUAUCCUAACAUAACAUAUUAUCAGACAUAUCUGGGGUGUCUGAACUACCCUUCGGUCCUAACAACCGAACUCGGGGGCUGUUCCCCUCCUACUACCCCUAACACAUAUAACAGAUCACGCUAGCAUAUAAUCAUAAUAUCACAUACUGUCAGACGUAUCUGGGAUGUCUGACUACCCUUCGGUCCUAACAACCGAACUCUACUACUAUAGCACAACAAGCUAGCAUAUAACAUAUCAGGUAGUAGCAAACCUAGAUGAUAUCACAAAGACAAUCAUCUAACACACAACUCCUACUGGUGGGCGCAUUGUGGCCGUAGACCCACCGCUACUGGAAGGUAACCCACCUCGAAGUAGCUGCUGAUCUGCGCGGGAACUGUCUGUCUGCUGCUGCUGCUCCGAAAAUCCUCCGGCUGUAAUUCCCACAAAACACUCAAUCAAACACUGCUAACUCUCCUUAGGGUAAAAUGACCAUUUUACCCCUGACCAAGUGAAAAGUCAAAGUCAAACUCAAACUUCCAGUUGACCCGACUCGUCGAGUUGGCUCGCUAACUCGUCGAGUCCCUAUCCAGUCGAUUGUCCUCUCUCCCGUCCUUACUCGUCGAGUUAGGCAUUGACUCGACGAGUUCUCCUUCUAUACAAAUAUCCAAUGGUCCUUCAUCUGACUCGCCGAGUUGUAUGAACAACUCGUCGAGUUCAUCUUCAUCCGAUGAACACUCUGGUCUGUGACUCGCCGAGUUGUAUGAACAACUUGUCGAGUCUGUUCUUGAGGCAAGAAGAUUGCCUUGGACUCGCCGAGUCCCUCCAUCAUUGAGUCUGGUAUCCGACUCACUAAGUCCACCUAUGGCUCACUGAUCCCACUCGGCAUAACUCAAAAGGGGAAAAUCAAGGACUCGCGACUCGAAUCGUCGAGUCCGAAGAACGACUCGCCGAGUCUCAUGCAUGAAAUCACUGUAUACUCGAUUUUGCUUGAAUCCAGUGCAUUCUAUCCAUAAAUCUGGGUUCUUAGGGCUUGAUUAACACGUAAAGUUUCCAACUUUACGUGUAAAUAGACACCGAUGAAGGUUUUAAGGCUCAAAAUACACUAAAAGAGUAGAUCUAGGGUUUUCAUGCAAUAAGGCUCCACAAAGGCAGUAGAUCUGAGCUUUUGAAGCUCAAACCUAGCUAGAUUCAAAGGCUAUUCCACUCAAUAUGAUCUCUAUAUUACAAUCAAGCUAGUAAGUGGAUAAAGAUGGCUUAAAUGGGGUUUCUAAUAGAAAAUCAUCAUGGAAAUAGAAGAGAUCCGAAAUAUAUCUCAAUGAACUCUGGAUUGAGUUCUAGAUCCUUGCUAUUCUCCUUCUCCUUGGUCCUUCCUUGCUUCUCUUCUUCAAACUUCAAGGAACCAGCACACAAACACUUAAAUCACAAAGGGGAGGGUUAGGUUUUGGUAAAGGAUGCUCUGAGGGUGAAGGGGGCGAGCUUGGGGGCGCAUAAGAGGGUUUAAAUAGGGUGCAAACCCUUGAAAUCAGGGUUUCUUCCAGACUGGCGGACUCGCCGAGUCGCCAACUUAAACGUGCUCGAUAUCCCGUCUCUACUCGGCGAGUCGGGCCUACCACUCGCCGAGUCCAAAGCUAAGAAUGCAAAAUACUUAGAUAAAUCAUACAUACCCGGAACCAAGUGCUACAACAACCUACUUAAAUUACAACUCUCAUGAUCAUAACGUCCAUUUAAUGAAGACAUGAGUAUUUUUCCAUGGUUCACAUCUUUCACAAUUCACCAAUCCUCCAUAUUUCUCUUCAUCUUGUAUAAAAUUAAGAAUAACAACGCACUUUGACUUUUGUCCCAUUUUCAUUAACUAACUCCUACCAUCAACAGUUACUCAUGUGCUUAUCGACUCUAGUAUCGCUUUCAUCAAGAUUUCAUCCAUCAAAGAUGUAAAGUUUAUGUCAUUGUUUGAGUACAAUUACAAAGUUACAAUCCUAAUCAAGAUUGUUUGUGCAAUUUAUUUUUCUUUCUCAAGAAAGUGAGUAUAGUGAUAAAAAUGGUGGUGUUGUCAUUAUACUAGUUUGUAUAUACUAUUAAACCACUUUUCUUUUCAUUUUUCACCACUCUAACCCAAAUCUUCUAUAUUCAACUCUCUUAAACAUUCAACACUCAUUUACCUAUCUCAAAAUGUCUUCCUCAAAUGCUUAACUCGGUUCCUGAUUGUACCUUGGAGCACGAUUGAAUAGGUGUCUUUGGCCCAUGCAUGUGUUAAUGUAUCGGAGAACACGUUAGUCAGCAUCUAGGAAAGUGAGUCAUCAUUUUUGAACUGAAUCAUCCAACGUUUCCUCAACGAAAUAAAUCGAGGUCGCUAUUAAUUAAGCAUAGAUCAAAUCUACACCUAAUGGAAGAACACGAACAAAGUGGUAGUAAAGUUUAAAAUAAAGUGAUGCAUGAUUGGCCAAAUGGUGAAAAUGAUAGAAUAGUGUUAAACACUGCUAUUGAAAUUUUCCGCCAAGAAAAAAAUAAAUGUUUCUGGUAUGUAAAAUUUUGACAAGUUGUCAAGGGAUGCAAAAAAUGGCACUUAUAUGUAAUAUAUACACGGGUGUUACUUUUAUGUUUUAUGAUUCCUAUGUUUUAAUUUCAAGUUAUAUUUUAUUAUCAUAUAAUUGCGUUUUAGUUUAAUGAAAACUUUGAUUUUAUGUAAAUUAGAUCGUUUUAAAUAAUAAUAAUAAUAAAUGUUGCAUAGAUGAGAAGAAAUUAAAGUGGUGUGACAACGACAAUAAUUAGCUAACAUUUAUGCGGCAAUAAAAGAAGUAUGACGUUGGUGGCACCACUUUCUCGACCUUUUUAAAAUGGGUUAAUUAAAAUCAAAGUUCAUUACCCAUUUUAAUAAUAUUAGAUUAUUUAUGUUAAGUGCAAGUCGUCAUAAGAUCCAUUGAUAUGACAUGAAAUUGGGUUGUCGGUUUAAGGGUGGCAAGUCUCGACCCAACCCGUAACCCGACACUGACCCAACGCGAAAACAGAUGGGUUUGGGUUGAGAUUUUUGACUUGUCAACCCGCCAACUCAUCAACCCGUUUAUUUCAUGGGUUGGGUUGGGUUAUCUGUUUGGGUUCGCGGUUCAACCCACCAACCCGUAUAUAUAUAUAUAUAUAUAUAUAUAUAUAUAUAUAUAUAUAUAUUAAAUUUGAUUUCCAUCCAUAUUCGUAAUAUUCCGUAUCAUUGUAUUCCUUCUAUAUUCAUAUGUGACUAAUCUACAUUUGCGGUUCGUUAAUCAGAAAAAGAAAAAACUACAUUUCUUUAUUUUCAUGAGUCACGAACGAAGAACACAACCACUUUUUAUAAAUGUCUUCAUUUUUUAUUUUUAUUUGGAUGUUAUCGAAUUUAAGUUGAAAACCUUUUUUAUGUUAAUUACUUUAAUCAUUUUAAGAAUUUAUGUUGAAAAAACCUUAUUUUUUAAAAUGUGUUACUUAUUUAUUAAACAAGUUAUAUGGAUUGGGUUUGACCCAUUAACUUGUGAACCCGCGAACUCAUAUAAUUAAACGGGUUGUAUGGGUUGGGUUGGGUUGGGUUGAGGUUUCCAACCCACCAACCCAUGACUCGCCAACCCAUCAACCCAUAUAUUAUAUGAGUUGGGUUGAGUUUAUGUUUUCUACCCGCCAACCCGAACUCAACCCAAUUGCUAGAUAGUAGACCAUAUAAUAUAUGUAUUAAACCUACUCAUACUUAAUUACUUCUUAAAUCCACCUAUGUCCACGACAGGACUUGAACCUUCGACCUUAAGGAGGGAGGGAAUACCGGAUACUGCUGGGCUGGAAGCCCUUUGUAUAUAAUAUAAGCAUCUUAUACGAAUUGAAAUAAGGUAUGUGGAAUUAAUGCUUUAAAAACUGAAGGUAACCCGUAUAAGUCUGAUAGAAACUAGAAAGCCUUCUAUGAGCGAAUUCUACAUUUUCAUUUCAUUUUCUUCCCUUCUCUCUAAAAUCUCUUUCUCUCUCAUGCCCUUUGUUCAUCCCCACGAAAAUCCCUUUCAUCUUCUGGCUUUCUGUACCCCCUGCGGCAGCCAUCAUUGUCCAUAUUCCAUUGCUUUUCCGGUGGGCGCGCACUUUCCGUGCGCGCACCACUGCCAAUCUCCGCCAUUGUCAUGACGGUGGCCCAUGCUUAUGCCCACCUUUUUCAUGUUCUCAUUUAUAUUUCAAUCCUCCGCCAUGUAAAUAGUUCGGAAUCCGACACCCUUCUUGAAUUCAAGAAUUCUGUUACCAAUGGCAACAAGCUAACCACUUGGAACCCCUCCACCAUCCCAUGCAAUGGCAACAAACCCAAUUGGGAAGGUAUUCUUUGCACCAACGACGCCAUUUCGGGUAUAAGACUUGAGGGAAAAGGGCUCGGUGGCAUCAUUGAUAUGAACAUAUUAACAAAAUUGCCAUCUUUGAUAACGAUAAGUUUUCAAAACAAUAGUUUUGAAGGAGAAUUCCCGGAGUUCAAAAAGUUACGUGGAUUAAGAAGUAUUUUCUUGACAGGCAACAAGUUCUCCAGAGAAGUUCCUUCGAACGCUUUUGAGGGGAUGAGGAGGCUCAAGAAGCUUUAUUUAGCAGAUAACCAUUUCAAAGGUCGAAUCCCUUUCUCACUCACCACAUUACCAAGGCUAAGAGAUUUGAUGCUCCAAAAUAAUCAGUUUGAAGGUGCGAUACCCGUAUUUGUGAGUGAUAAAUUAAUGAUCGUAAACUUUGCAAACAAUCAUCUCCGAGGUACUAUUCCGAAACGCCUUCAAAAGUUUCCCGCAAGUCAAUUUUCUGGUGAGUUGUUCAAUUUUAGAUUUCAUCCAUGGUGAAAACCGAAAAAGCUUGUGAAUUUUUCAAGGUUGUGUUGCUCAUGAUGUCGUUUUGCCUUUAGGUAACAGCGAGCUAUGUGGACCACCAUUGAAGAAGUGCACGGCGGAGAUCCCCAUCAGCACGAUCAUCUUGAUAGCAUCGGUGGUGGUUGCAGCGUUGGCGGCGAUCACUGCCGCUUUCUUAAUCCUGCGACACUUCGGCCCAUCUGCAAAAGAUUCCUUUCAAGUACCACCAACUUACGUGAAGGGAGCUACUCCAUCUGAUCACCAUGAUAAGAUGGAGCAAGGUUGUGGUAAAACCGCAGCCAAGAAGAUUGAUUCAUCUCACAAGUUGACAUUCUUCAGAAACGACAUAGAAAAGUUCGAUUUAGCAGACCUGUUAAAGGCGUCGGCGGAGAUACUUGGUGGUGGGGUGUUCGGAUCAAGUUACAAGGCGGCUCUCACUCGUGAGAAAGUGAUAGUGGUGAAGAGGUUCAAGCACAUGAACAACGUUACAAACGAUGAGUUUGUGAAGCAUAUGAGAAGGUUAGGUAAGUUGAAUCACCCUAACUUGGUCCCACUUAUCGCAUUUUACUAUCAAGAUGAAGAGAAACUCUUUGUUGCGAACUACGUUCAAAACUUCAGCUUAGCCGUUCAUCUUCAUGGUAUAUAUGUUUUCUUUAAAAUAUAUGUCCAUAAUGAUCAUAUACUUAGCAUCGUUGCAAGCUAAUUGUUGUUGAAAACGUCUCAGGAAGGCGAUCUAACGUAAGACAAACACUGGAUUGGCCUACUCGGUUGAAGAUCGUGAAAGGUAUAGCGAGAGGGCUUCUACACCUCUACAAUGAGCUUCCAAGCUUGAUCGCACCUCAUGGUCACCUCAAAUCAUCAAACGUUUUACUAAAUCCAGAGUUCGAUUCGCUUCUCACAGACUACGGAUUGGUUCCUAUAACAAAUCAAGAACAAGCGCGAGAUGUCAUGAUCUCCUUUAAAUCACCAGAGUACAAGCAACAUGGACGUAUUACAAAGAAGACAGAUGUAUGGAGUCUUGGCGUGUUGAUUCUAGAGAUCAUGACAGGGAAGUUCCCAGCAAACUCGUUCCAACAAAGCAAAGGUGGCGACACAGAGCUUGCGACCUUCAUGGACUCGGUGAUGAAGGAGGAGCCGACGAGUGAUGUAUUGGAUAAAGAAAUGGGAGGGUUUGAUAAGCGUAACGAAGGGCAGAUGUUGACGUUGUUGAAUAUAGGAUUGAAUUGUUGUGAACCUAACGUAGAAAAGAGAUGGGACAUUAAAGAAGCUGUCAACCGGAUCGAGGAGGUGAGAGAAAAGAAUGAUGAAGAUGACAACAUCAAACAUUCAAAAAGACGACCGUGGUUGAGUUUUAAGAAGAAUUAAGGAUAGAGUGGGAUUUAGAUUAUAAUGACAAGGCAUGAGGGUUGAAGUACCACUUCACUAAACCAGAAAAUGCAAGUCAAAUUCGUUGUAGUAAGGUAAAAUUAUGGAUUUUAGGGGCUUAGUAGGGUGUCUCUGAACCUAGUUACAAAAUCUAGAGUUAAUCAUGUAUAUACGUUUUUGUAAGAAGAUUAUAGUAGUCCCAAUAGAUAUUUUAUAUUUCAAAGAUCGAUGUGUUGUACGUCCUUAUAUAAACUCGACUUUAUCGCUUCGCUACAUAUUACCUAAAUGAAUUAUAAGUCCAACGAAGUUUUCAAACCGUUCAAAAAACCCUAAUUAUGUUUUGUUUGUUCAAGAAAACCGAACGAAUUUAACCUGUUGUCUAAAAAAUCUCAACUAACUUACACUUCUCAUUUAGGGUCAAUCGGUCUAUGAAAUUCAACGAAUAACAUGGCUUAUAACGUGUAAUUAAAUAUCAGAAAAUGACUUGUAAGACCAACGAAAUUUCAAAACCGUUCACAAAACUCUAAUCAUGUUUUGUUUGUUGAAAAAAACUCAACGAACUUAUGCUUUUGUUCAAUUCUCAUUAGAGGCAACCAGAUUCAUUAGGUAUAAAACUAGUUGGCAAAUGACAUGACAUUAUAUUUAAUGACAUGGAAUAAACAAAUUAGAAUUGCCCUUUAUAUAUAGAUUUAGGGCUUGGAGAAGAGAAAAACGAACGAUGUCUGUGUUCGAUCUCUUGUAAUAGCUACUUCUUUUUCUUCCUCUCAAUCGUUGAUGUCCAACUUAAGAUCUACAAAGAAGAUAUUUAAUGAUGCAAAUUCUUGUAGAUGUAGAUGCCCUUCUUGGAUUUGGACAUCUAGAAUGGAGGAUCAUCCAACGAUAAUCUAGUAUUGGGCCCGUACUACUGAAAACACAAGAUCCAUACUCGAAUCGACGAGAGUCUUAGAGGAUCUGAGAAACCUAAGGGAAGGGAGUUCUUGAUUAUGCUUGGACCGUAGGGAUAGUUGUUUUGCAGAAUGAGGAUGAGUAUGCAUGGGAAGGACCAGGGUUUGGUCCCGACUCCGGUGGUGAGCCAGUUAGUGGAAGGACUGCCAGGAUUUUUGAGUUAGUCGUGUAUCUCUUGUAUCAGGCGGUAAGGAUUGAUUGUGUGAUUUAUUGCACUUUCGGGAUUAGAAACCAUGUCUUGGGGGUAGCUAGUAGCCCGGUUUAGAGCAGAGGUUACUCCAGCUAUUGCAGUUCAGCCGUUGACGAUUGAGCUGGUGAGUGGGUCAGGGUGUGAGACCCUGAAUGAUGCGGGUCCCAAAACCGAGGGCGGAAGAUCGAUUUGGAGUACCUCGAUAAGAGAGGUUCAAAUCAUCUAAAUUUAGUAGGGGAUCUAUGGAAGAAACCCAAGAGUUUGGAUCAGCUGUUGAGAGGCGAACAUGGUUGGAUUCAAUGCAGCAAUUCCAGUAAACUGUGCAAUGGAGAUUGUCGUUCUAGGGGUCUGGUCUGUUGCAAGUGCGGCAAGGUUGGUCGCAACAGCAGGGAUUGCCCACAAGUGGCAACCCCGUUUUAUUUUCGUUAUGAUUAGGUGGGCGACAAGGAGGUCGACUGUCUGGUGAUCGAGGAAGAGCGGUGAGUGCACCUGCUCCGACUAUUUUGAGGAUCACCGACGGAAAAGAGGGUAGGUCAAGAGCCCCAGUAAAGAGGGGCCAUAAUUCGCAGAAUCAGACAAGAGAGCUCGAAACUUCAGCAGGCAAGGGUAUGGGGUAGGUAUGUUUUUGCUUUCUUUCCAGCCUUACCUGUAUAUGGUUGAUGUUAACUUGCAUCAGUGUGAGUGAGCAUAUUGUGGAGUUGUUACCUCUGUUUGUGGUCGAGUUAUAUAUAUAUAUAUAUAUAUAUAUAUAUAUAUAGGUAUGGUUUGGGCUUAUGAUACAUGAUGGACUAAAUUUAUGNNNNNNNNNNNNNNNNNNNNNNNNNNNNNNNNNNNNNNNNNNNNNNNNNNNNNNNNNNNNNNNNNNNNNNNNNNNNNNNNNNNNNNNNNNNNNNNNNNNNNNNNNNNNNNNNNNNNNNNNNNNNNNNNNNNNNNNNNNNNNNNNNNNNNNNNNNNNNNNNNNNNNNNNNNNNNNNNNNNNNNNNNNNNNNNNNNNNNNNNNNNNNNNNNNNNNNNNNNNNNNNNNNNNNNNNNNNNNNNNNNNNNNNNNNNNNNNNNNNNNNNNNNNNNNNNNNNNNNNNNNNNNNNNNNNNNNNNNNNNNNNNNNNNNNNNNNNNNNNNNNNNNNNNNNNNNNNNNNNNNNNNNUUGAUGUGUGUGAAAUGCACUAGUUUUAAUCCUACUAACUUAGACACAAAAUAAACACAUGAAAACCAAUGUACCUAUCAAUUAGUAAUAUAGUUCAAGCAAGUAGGGUAUCGAACACAUGGAACGGUAAACAAUUAAAAUAAAUGUUAAUAUUGUCUAAAUAAAACAAGUAAUAGAAAAGGGGGUUUUCUAUAGUUUUGAAAGACUAGAAACCUAAGCAAUCAAAUAAAACUUAAACGAAGGCAAUUAACAACUAAAGAGAAUAGAAGAUAGCUAGAUUCAAUAAUAAAAGAGACUUCUGUUCAGAUUCGACUCACUUAUUCCUAUGGUUGAUUUCAUGGCAAGUGCAAUGGAUUAAUUUGUCAUUGGCUACCGAUUAAUGUGAUUAUGAUUAUGUUCAUGUUCACUAUUACUAAUCCUUAGAAAACAAAUCAAUUCAAAUAGUGGCUAAUUGGUUAAACUAAUGAGUUUCCUAGUUUAUUUAUUCAGGUUAAGUAAGACUUUUAGGUAGCUAAUUAAAUUACUAAUUCAAUUAACUUCUUAUAUGUUUGUUCGUCACACAACCUCACACAUUGACUUACCUAUUUUCUAGUUAACCCCUAUUUUCAUGUUCACUAUUCCUAGGCAUAUAAUAUUAUUUUCACAUAAAUUAUAUGAGACAAGCAAGUAAAAGAUGUUCAUGCAACUUAAUAGACUUGAUAAUUAACAGAAAAUAGUUAUUGUCAACACAUAAGGAUCUUUAACAAGCUUAACAUAACAAAAUUCACCAAAUUAAGUUAAUCCAAGCCACAAAAUCAUACCAUAUUCAUAAAUUCAUCUAGUCUAAACAAAAGUAAUGAGUUUUUAGCUCAUAUCUACAGCAAAUAACAAACUAAAAAUGAAAUUUAAUGAUUGAAACAUGGUUCAUGCAAAAGAUUAAGAUAAAAGUAAUGUGUUAUUGCCUUUGAUCUUCUUCCAAAUUGAUAUCUAAGUUGAAAUCUAGAAAACUACAACUCUAAGAACCCUUCUGGCACCCAAAAAUCGUCCAAAGCUUCCCCAAUUAAUUAGGGUUCGAAUGAGAAGCAUUUCUAUAUAUAAAUUCUGAAAACAGGGUCAACUCAACGAGUUUGUGACCCAACUCAUCGAGUUGGUCAUUAAAAUCCCGUGUACGACAAGUCAGCGUCAAGAAUCGCAAACUUUCUGAUCACCUUGUCGAGUUGAGGCCCAACUCGUCGAGUUCUCUUGGAAUUAACAUUUUAUCAAAACAAGAAAGUCGUCCGAAAUUGUGUCUAGCUUUUAGAACAUUUUGAAUCUUGUCAAUCGGAGUUACGGUUCAUGAGAUAUGGCUAAAACACCGACGAGUGGUCAAGCUGUCCAACAACAACCUUCUUUCUUCAAAAUCCAAUCUCCAAGCUUCCAAUCGCUAGUUCCACUUCCUUUUCCAUCCGAGCAUGUCAUUGUUGCUGAAAAAUGAAAUUCUAAACAAAUUAAGCACCUUUUGUUCAUUAAAUAAGAUAAAAUCAACAUAAAGUAUUAAGAUAAUGCAAGAAUUUUGUAGCUAAAUAUGCCCAUAUCAAAAUACCCCACACUUGACUUUUGCUUGCCCCCAAGCAAAACUUAAUUUUAACACAUUAAUAUCACAUAAGACAAUUCCAAUUGAACCCAACCAUUAUGCCAAAACCGCAACGCAUGCAUUUGUGUCUAAAAUUUUUCCUAAGGACCCCCUAAUCCUAAAUACUUACAAUCCUCAUAAACACUCACCCACUUCUUUUGAACAACACUCAUUUUAUGCAUCCCUCCGAAUCCAUCCACAUAAAACUUUCUUAACCUCAAGUCAUUUUUGGUUAAACAACCAAGCAUACAUAAAUUCUAGAAAAAUUACAUCUUUGAUACCACAAUGGAGCUCUUUGAAUUCUUCACUUAUUUGAUCUUUGAUCUCUUUGAAUUCACCACCUUCUUUGUUUAAUUUUUGUUAUCUUCAACUUUUGAAUUUCUUUCGAAUUUUGAUCUUUGUAAUUUAUAUUUUGAAUGCUCCAAAAUUCUUUAACUUUUCGGUAAUUUCUCUCUCUCUCUUUUUUUUCAACAUGUACCUUACUUUUCUUCUCACUCAAAACCUACAUACUUAAACAAGGAGCUUAACUUCAUCCUUUAUUGGUUAAGGUAUUAGUCUCAAUUCAAUGGCUACUUAAGCUUUCCUGGAUACAUUUCUGGUACACGAUGCUAAACUUGUUGCGUCCUUCAAACUAAGCGAUGUUGUGUUUUGUCUCAUGAUUUCACUAGAAUAAAGGGGGCCACAAAUGCACUAGAACGUAUGUUGGCUCAACUAAACAUCUGGGCCUUCAAAGAAUCAUCAAACACAAUACUAGCAUGAAUCCUAAUUGCUUUACCAAAUUUUUAUAAAUUAACUCCUAGCAAUUUUUAUGCAAUUUUUUUUAAUUAUCCUAGGAUUCUAAUAUAACUAAUGUAAUCAACCCCCUAUCCCACACUUAAUUCACGUAAUGUCCCCAUUGCAUGUUAUGCAUGAUAAAGAACAUAAAAGUAAAGAAAGAAUUGGAACAGUCUCCUCUGGGAUAGAAGUUGCGAGGUUGAUAUUCUUCCUUUUAAGCUCCAUCUUCAGCUGAAUUUGGCAUGGAAUAGCUCAUCCACGCCUUGGGUGUCAAAAUUUCAUGUGGUACAGCUCCUAAUGUAGUGGAAAAAGCUUCUUGGAAUCGCCUAGAAUUAGACUUCAAAAUAUAAACAAUGCCUACGUCGUAUGGAAUCAAAUAGAAGACUUAAAAAUAAAAUGAUUGAGCAACACGCCGAUUUGAUAGUGGAGAUCUCGUUGUGUUGGAUCGUAACUUGGGCAGAAAUCACGUUUUUCCUCUAAAACUCGUCGAGUUGUAUGUAUGCACUCGACGAGUUUUUGGCACUGAUCAGUCAAACUCUUUUUUCUGCUUCAGCUCUGAUUUGGUGCUCAAGGAGGGUAUUAGUGUGAUACACCUCCUUAUAUUCUCCAGUGCUGAGACUCCUUUUAUCAAAUAUAAACAUCGAAUUCAACAUAUCGCUCAAAGUCUUCUAAUCUUCUCAUCUACGACUCGACCCCGCACUUUAUUUCCUUCACGCUUUAAGAAAUUGCUCUAAUCUCACCCUAACUUCUGCAAAGAUCAAAGACAAAAAACUACGUAAUAACAGGAAAACAAACAUCAAAUUAGCAUUCCUACAUUACCCCUAUUUACUAUAAGAAAGAAGAAAGAAAAAGGAAAUCAAACUCAAAUGAUGGGUUGCCUCCCGCUAGCACUUCUUUUUGUGUGAGUCUUGAGCUGGACUCUCAACUUAAUAAACUUCUAAUAAACUUGAUAUCAUUCCAUCCAUUGCAUUGAAUAUCUUCUUUGGACCAAUUCAUAAAAUUUGGCUCUUUGCUUUUACAACUGGCCAAAUGAGCUUGAAUUCAUAAAACCCAAGAAUUUUGACAAGGGUUGGAACCGGUUGGAUACUAAUCAAAAAUGGAUCGUGCCUCAGAACUACCUCCAAAUUUGGAAUCGUCACCCCAUGCUUCGAAACACAAACUGGAAAAAAAGGGGGCCACGUCGUGGUAAUGGUUAAUCCAUGGCUUGGUUCCUGCAACUCAACUUCUUCUUGUUCUUCCUCUGACCCUUCUGCUAGCAAUGAGCAAUCUUACCAGCUCCUCCAAAUCUCUUUCUAGAUUAAAUUCUUCAUCUUGUAAAUCUAGCUCUUGUAACUCAGAUUCCUCUUGUUUAUUAGGCAAGAUGUUAUUUAACCAUCUUCCAAAUUUCUUCAAAUCAUCAUCUGAGUCAUACUCCUCAUCUUCUUGCUCAAUUUCUUGUACUACUUCCUCAAGAAAAGCAUCAAGAGCAUCGAGAUUUGGAAAAUACAUAAUAAAUAAAAAUAAAAAUAAAAAUUAAACUAAAUAUAAAAAAACAAUAAAUUAAAAACGAUAACAAUUAGGAAAUAAAAUCAACUAUUUGAACCGUUCCCCGGCAACGGCGCCAAAAACUUGAUGUGUGUGAAAUACACUAGUUUUAAUCCUACUAACUUAGACACAAAAUAAACACAUGAAAACCAAUGUACCUAUCAAUUAGUAAUAUAGUUCAAGCAAGUAGGGUAUCGAACACAUGGAACGGUAAACAAUUAAAAUAAAUGUUAAUAUUGUCUAAAUAAAACCAAUGUACCUAUCAAUUAGUAAUAUAGUUCAAGCAAGUAGGGUAUCGAACACAUGGAACGGUAAACAAUUAAAAUAAAUGUUAAUAUUGUCUAAAUAAAACAAGUAAUAGAAAAGGGGGUUUUCUAUAGUUUUGAAAGACUAGAAACCUAAGCAAUCAAAUAAAACUUAAACGAAGGCAAUUAACAACUAAAGAGAAUAGAAGAUAGCUAGAUUCAAUAAUAAAAGAGACUUCUGUUCAGAUUCGACUCACUUAUUCCUAUGGUUGAUUUCAUGGCAAGUGCAAUGGAUUAAUUUGUCAUUGGCUACCGAUUAAUGUGAUUAUGAUUAUGUUCAUGUUCACUAUUACUAAUCCUUAGAAAACAAAUCAAUUCAAAUAGUGGCUAAUUGGUUAAACUAAUGAGUUUCCUAGUUUAUUUAUUCAGGUUAAGUAAGACUUUUAGGUAGCUAAUUAAAUUACUAAUUCAAUUAACUUCUUAUAUGUUUGUUCGUCACACAACCUCACACAUUGACUUACCUAUUUUCUAGUUAACCCCUAUUUUCAUGUUCACUAUUCCUAGGCAUAUAAUAUUAUUUUCACAUAAAUUAUAUGAGACAAGCAAGUAAAAGAUGUUCAUGCAACUUAAUAGACUUGAUAAUUAACAGAAAAUAGUUAUUGUCAACACAUAAGGAUCUUUAACAAGCUUAACAUAACAAAAUUCACCAAAUUAAGUUAAUCCAAGCCACAAAAUCAUACCAUAUUCAUAAAUUCAUCUAGUCUAAACAAAAGUAAUGAGUUUUUAGCUCAUAUCUACAGCAAAUAACAAACUAAAAAUGAAAUUUAAUGAUUGAAACAUGGUUCAUGCAAAAGAUUAAGAUAAAAGUAAUGUGUUAUUGCCUUUGAUCUUCUUCCAAAUUGAUAUCUAAGUUGAAAUCUAGAAAACUACAACUCUAAGAACCCUUCUGGCACCCAAAAAUCGUCCAAAGCUUCCCCAAUUAAUUAGGGUUCGAAUGAGAAGCAUUUCUAUAUAUAAAUUCUGAAAACAGGGUCAACUCAACGAGUUUGUGACCCAACUCAUCGAGUUGGUCAUUAAAAUCCCGUGUACGACAAGUCAGCGUCAAGAAUCGCAAACUUUCUGAUCACCUUGUCGAGUUGAGGCCCAACUCGUCGAGUUCUCUUGGAAUUAACAUUUUAUCAAAACAAGAAAGUCGUCCGAAAUUGUGUCUAGCUUUUAGAACAUUUUGAAUCUUGUCAAUCGGAGUUACGGUUCAUGAGAUAUGGCUAAAACACCGACGAGUGGUCAAGCUGUCCAACAACAACCUUCUUUCUUCAAAAUCCAAUCUCCAAGCUUCCAAUCGCUAGUUCCACUUCCUUUUCCAUCCGAGCAUGUCAUUGUUGCUGAAAAAUGAAAUUCUAAACAAAUUAAGCACCUUUUGUUCAUUAAAUAAGAUAAAAUCAACAUAAAGUAUUAAGAUAAUGCAAGAAUUUUGUAGCUAAAUAUGCCCAUAUCAAAAUACCCCACACUUGACUUUUGCUUGCCCCCAAGCAAAACUUAAUUUUAACACAUUAAUAUCACAUAAGACAAUUCCAAUUGAACCCAACCAUUAUGCCAAAACCGCAACGCAUGCAUUUGUGUCUAAAAUUUUUCCUAAGGACCCCCUAAUCCUAAAUACUUACAAUCCUCAUAAACACUCACCCACUUCUUUUGAACAACACUCAUUUUAUGCAUCCCUCCGAAUCCAUCCACAUAAAACUUUCUUAACCUCAAGUCAUUUUUGGUUAAACAACCAAGCAUACAUAAAUUCUAGAAAAAUUACAUCUUUGAUACCACAAUGGAGCUCUUUGAAUUCUUCACUUAUUUGAUCUUUGAUCUCUUUGAAUUCACCACCUUCUUUGUUUAAUUUUUGUUAUCUUCAACUUUUGAAUUUCUUUCGAAUUUUGAUCUUUGUAAUUUAUAUUUUGAAUGCUCCAAAAUUCUUUAACUUUUCGGUAAUUUCUCUCUCUCUCUUUUUUUUCAACAUGUACCUUACUUUUCUUCUCACUCAAAACCUACAUACUUAAACAAGGAGCUUAACUUCAUCCUUUAUUGGUUAAGGUAUUAGUCUCAAUUCAAUGGCUACUUAAGCUUUCCUGGAUACAUUUCUGGUACACGAUGCUAAACUUGUUGCGUCCUUCAAACUAAGCGAUGUUGUGUUUUGUCUCAUGAUUUCACUAGAAUAAAGGGGGCCACAAAUGCACUAGAACGUAUGUUGGCUCAACUAAACAUCUGGGCCUUCAAAGAAUCAUCAAACACAAUACUAGCAUGAAUCCUAAUUGCUUUACCAAAUUUUUAUAAAUUAACUCCUAGCAAUUUUUAUGCAAUUUUUUUUAAUUAUCCUAGGAUUCUAAUAUAACUAAUGUAAUCAACCCCCUAUCCCACACUUAAUUCACGUAAUGUCCCCAUUGCAUGUUAUGCAUGAUAAAGAACAUAAAAGUAAAGAAAGAAUUGGAACAGUCUCCUCUGGGAUAGAAGUUGCGAGGUUGAUAUUCUUCCUUUUAAGCUCCAUCUUCAGCUGAAUUUGGCAUGGAAUAGCUCAUCCACGCCUUGGGUGUCAAAAUUUCAUGUGGUACAGCUCCUAAUGUAGUGGAAAAAGCUUCUUGGAAUCGCCUAGAAUUAGACUUCAAAAUAUAAACAAUGCCUACGUCGUAUGGAAUCAAAUAGAAGACUUAAAAAUAAAAUGAUUGAGCAACACGCCGAUUUGAUAGUGGAGAUCUCGUUGUGUUGGAUCGUAACUUGGGCAGAAAUCACGUUUUUCCUCUAAAACUCGUCGAGUUGUAUGUAUGCACUCGACGAGUUUUUGGCACUGAUCAGUCAAACUCUUUUUUCUGCUUCAGCUCUGAUUUGGUGCUCAAGGAGGGUAUUAGUGUGAUACACCUCCUUAUAUUCUCCAGUGCUGAGACUCCUUUUAUCAAAUAUAAACAUCGAAUUCAACAUAUCGCUCAAAGUCUUCUAAUCUUCUCAUCUACGACUCGACCCCGCACUUUAUUUCCUUCACGCUUUAAGAAAUUGCUCUAAUCUCACCCUAACUUCUGCAAAGAUCAAAGACAAAAAACUACGUAAUAACAGGAAAACAAACAUCAAAUUAGCAUUCCUACAUUACCCCUAUUUACUAUAAGAAAGAAGAAAGAAAAAGGAAAUCAAACUCAAAUGAUGGGUUGCCUCCCGCUAGCACUUCUUUUUGUGUGAGUCUUGAGCUGGACUCUCAACUUAAUAAACUUCUAAUAAACUUGAUAUCAUUCCAUCCAUUGCAUUGAAUAUCUUCUUUGGACCAAUUCAUAAAAUUUGGCUCUUUGCUUUUACAACUGGCCAAAUGAGCUUGAAUUCAUAAAACCCAAGAAUUUUGACAAGGGUUGGAACCGGUUGGAUACUAAUCAAAAAUGGAUCGUGCCUCAGAACUACCUCCAAAUUUGGAAUCGUCACCCCAUGCUUCGAAACACAAACUGGAAAAACAGGGGGCCACGUCGUGGUAAUGGUUAAUCCAUGGCUUGGUUCCUGCAACUCAACUUCUUCUUGUUCUUCCUCUGACCCUUCUGCUAGCAAUGAGCAAUCUUACCAGCUCCUCCAAAUCUCUUUCUAGAUUAAAUUCUUCAUCUUGUAAAUCUAGCUCUUGUAACUCAGAUUCCUCUUGUUUAUUAGGCAAGAUGUUAUUUAACCAUCUUCCAAAUUUCUUCAAAUCAUCAUCUGAGUCAUACUCCUCAUCUUCUUGCUCAAUUUCUUGUACUACUUCCUCAAGAAAAGCAUCAAGAGCAUCGAGAUUUGGAAAAUACAUAAUAAAUAAAAAUAAAAAUAAAAAUUAAACUAAAUAUAAAAAAACAAUAAAUUAAAAACGAUAACAAUUAGGAAAUAAAAUCAACUAUUUGAACCGUUCCCCGGCAACGGCGCCAAAAACUUGAUGUGUGUGAAAUACACUAGUUUUAAUCCUACUAACUUAGACACAAAAUAAACACAUGAAAACCAAUGUACCUAUCAAUUAGUAAUAUAGUUCAAGCAAGUAGGGUAUCGAACACAUGGAACGGUAAAUAAUUAAAAUAAAUGUUAAUAUUAUCUAAAUAAAACAAGUAAUAGAAAAGGGGGUUUUCUAUAGUUUUGAAAGACUAGAAGCCUAAGCAAUCAAAUAAAACUUAAACGAAGGCAAUUAACAACUAAAGAGAAUAGAAGAUAGCUAGAUUCAAUAAUAAAAGAGACUUCUGUUCAGAUUCGACUCACUUAUUCCUAUGGUUGAUUUCAUGGCAAGUGCAAUGGAUUAAUUUGUCAUUGGCUACCGAUUAAUGUGAUUAUGAUUAUGUUCAUGUUCACUAUUACUAAUCCUUAGAAAACAAAUCAAUUCAAAUAGUGGCUAAUUGGUUAAACUAAUGAGUUUCCUAGUUUAUUUAUUCAGGUUAAGUAAGACUUUUAGUUAGCUAAUUAAAUUACUAAUUCAAUUAACUUCUUAUAUGGUUGUUCGUCACACAACCUCACACACUGACUUACCUAUUUUCUAGUUAACCCCUAGUUUCAUGUUCACUAUUCCUAGGCAUAUAAUAUUAUUUUCACAUAAAUUAUAUGAGACAAGCAAAUAAAAGAUGUUCAUGCAACUUAAUAGACUUGAUAAUUAACAGAAAAUAGUUAUUGUCAACACAUAAGGAUCUUUAACAAGCUUAACAGAACAAAAUUCACCAAAUUAAAUUAAUCCAAGCCAUAAAAUCACACCAUAUUCAUAAAUUCAUCUAGUGUAAACAGAAGUAAUGAAUUUUUAGCUCAUAUCUACAGCAAAUAACAAACUAAAAUGAAAUUUAAUGAUUGAAACAUGGUUCAUGCAAAAGAUUAAGAUAAAAGUAAUGUUUUAUUGCCUUUGAUCUUCUUCCAAAUUGAUAUCUAAGUUGAAAUCUAGAAAACCACAACUCUAAGAACCCUUCUGGCCUCAAUAAUUCGUCCAAAGUUUCCCCAAUUAAUUAGAGUUCAAAUGAGAAGCGUUUCUAUAUAUAAAUUUUGAAAACAUGACCAACUCGAUGAGUUUGUGACCAAACUCGUCGAGUUGGUCAUUAAAAUCUCAUGUACGGCAAGUCAGCGUCGAGAAUCGUGAACUUUCUGAUCACCUCAUCGAGUUCUCUUAGAAUCGACAUUUUCUCAAAACCUGAAAGUCGUCUGAAAUUGUGUCUAGUUUUCAGAACAUUUUUGUAACGACCCAUUUUUCACGUCCAAAAAUUUCAUUUUUCAAUUAAUAUUUAGUAAAAUCAUUUGCAAAUAAACAUUGUCCGAUCAAACCAUUUCAUAAACAUAUACUAUGUCUGAAAACCAAAACAUGUGAACUAUCAAAAUAUCUGAGUAUGAAUCCCAGAACAAUCCCAUGAAUGCGGAAAAACAGUGUGCGUGUAUGAUGUGUCGCUACCGCGCCAGCUCCUUCCCUUCGACGAAGAAGUACCUGAAACCAAAACUGUAAACUGUAAGCACAAAGCUUAGUGAGUUCCCCCAUCGUACCACAUACCAUACGAUCACAUAACAUACAUACCGCUAGACUAUUCUGGGGUGCCUGACUACCCGGUGCGGCCGUUCUGGGGUGCCGACUACUCGUGCGGCCAUUCUGGGGUGCCGUCCUACCCGUGUCAAGCCAUUCUGGGGUGCUGACUACCCAUCUGUCCUAACAACCGAUCAUCGGGGACUAUUUCACCCCCUACUGCUACUAUCACAUAUAUCAUAACAUAAACACACUAUCGGACAUAUCCGGGGUGUCCGAACUACCCUUCGGUCCUAACAACCGAACUUGGGGACUAUUCCCCUCCUACUACCACUAUCACAUAUAACAUAUCAUGCCAGCAUAUAAACAUAUCAUCACAUACUGUCAGACAUAUCUGGGGAGUUUGACCUACCCUUCGGUCCUAACAACCAAACUCUACUACUAUCACAUAUAACAUAUCAGGUAGUAGCAAACCUAGAUGAUAUCACAAAGACAAUCAUCUUACAUACGACUUCUACUGGUAGGCCGGCAUUGUGGCCAUAGACCCACUGCUACUGGAAGGUAACUCACCUCAAAGUAGCUGCUGGUUCGAGCGGGAACUGACUGUCUACUACUGUUGCUGCUGUUCCGGAAGUCCUCCGGAUAUAAUUCCCACAAAACAUUCAGUCAAAUACUGCUAGCUGUACUUAGGGUAAAAUGACCAUUUUACCCUUGACCAGGUCAAAGUACAAGUCAAAGUCAACUUCCAGUUGACCCGACUUGCCGAGUUGGCUUGCCAACUCGUCGAGUCCCUAUCCAUUCGAUUGACCAUAAUCCCGUCUCUAUUCGUCGAGUUAGGCAUUGACUCGACGAGUUUUCCUUCUAACCGAUGUCCAAUAGUCCUUCAUCCUACUCGCCGAAUUGUAUGAACNUUCAUCCGAUGAACACUCUAUGCUGAGACUCGCCGAGCUGUAUGAACAACUCGCCGAGUCUGUUCUUGAGGUAAGAAGAUUGCCUUGGACUCGCCGAGUCAGGGCAUUGACUCGCCAAGUCCCUCCAUGGAUGGGUCUGGUUUCCGACUCACUGAGUCCACCCGCGACUCACAAUUCCACUCAACAAACACGAAAAAGGGGAAAACUCGGGGAAUCGCGGCUCGACUCGCCGAGUCGUUCACAUGCAAUUACUAUAUACUCGAUUCUACUUGAAUCCAACUCAUACUAUACAUAGAUCUGGGCUCUUAGGGUAGGUUUUACACGUAAAGUUUCCAACUUUACGUGUAUACAUGCAUAGGAUGGGGAUUUAAGGCUUAAUAAAGGCUAAAAUGGUAGAUCUAGGACAUUCAAGCACUUUACUCCCAUAAAGGCCAUGGAUCUGAGCUUCUGGAGCUCAACCCUGCCUAGAUCUAGAGGUUAAUCAGCUCAUUACAACCCCUAAUCCACAACCAAGCUUGGAAAUGGUUCAAGAAGGACUUUAAUGGUGCCCUAAGGGACUUUAAGCAUAAAAACAGAAGGAAACUGAGUUAUACCACAAUGAAUCUCUGAAAUAUCACCAAGAUAUCGGGCCUACUUCUUCUCCUCUUGAUCUACUCUCCUUCUUCUCUCAAAAUCUUCAAGAAAUCACACCAAAACACUUCAAUCUCAAAGGAAAAGGGGUUAGGUCGAUAUAAGGAGCUCUGAGGGUGAAGGAUCCGGGCUUGGGGCGCACAAGGUUGCUUUAAGUAGGGUGCAAACCCUUGAAAUUAGGGUUUCAUCCAGACAGCGGGGACUCGCCGAGUCCAGAAUAUGGACUCGCCGAGUCGCCAACUUAAGCGUGCUCAAUAUCCCGGCUCUACUCGGAGAGUCGGGCCUACAACUCGUCGAGUCCAAGGCUAAAAAUGUAACUUACUUAGAUAGGUCAUACGUACCAGGAACCAGGUGCUACAAUUUUGAAUCUCAUCAAUCGGAGUUACGGUUCAUGAGAUAUGACUAAACCACUAACGAGUGGUCAAGCUGUCCAGCCACAACCUUCUUUCUUCAAAAUCCAAUCUCCAAGCUUCCAAUCACUAGUUCUGCUUUCUUUUCCAUCUGAGCAUGUCAUUGUUGCUGAAAAAUGACAUUCUAAACUAAUUAAGCACAUUUUGUUCAUUAAAUAAGAUAAAAUCAACAUAAAGUAUUAAGAUAAUUCAAUAAUUUUAUAACUAAAUAUGCCCAUAUAUANAAAGGGUCCUGUACCCAUGACUCAAAAUUUCCUUGCCAAGCUACAUGAAAGAGAUUUCCGGAAGUCCACAGAAAAAUUAUUGCUAAUUGACCGAAGUGAGAAGCAAAAAUAUUUUGAUAAAGACGUUCCUCAAUAAUAUCAUCAUGACUCUUGAAGUCAUGCGUUGUAGCAAUACCAAACCAAAUACGACGAGUAGUGGGGUCUUGAGCUAAGCCUUGGCUAAACCUUGGAAAUCUUAAUGCCAUAAUGCCUAUCAAAUCCUCCUAUCCAUUAUCCUACUACAAUAAUUCUUGCUAAGAAGAACGCCCGUGUUGUGGCAAUUCCACCCAGAAGGUAAUGGUUACUCCUACAACACGUCCUUGUACAAUGCUUAAGGCUCUCGAUUGGGUAGUAGGAGCAACUUUUAAUUUAUUAUGAGCCCAAACGACGGAUUCAAUAAGUUCUUGCCAAUAACCACGUCAACUAAAUAAAAAACAUUUAACUAAAAGUCCAUACAAAAUGAGCACCUAGGAAAAAAAGGCCAUAUGCGAAUAAUGAGGAACCAUAAGAAUGAAUUACAUGGGAUGCCUGUGCCCAUAAGAAAUCGCGGAGCCACCCAUUAAUAGUAAUAGAACUCUGCGCAAAGUUUCCUCCCGUGAUAUGAGUUACUACUCCUUGAUCGCUUAUACUGCCCCAAACAUCUGACUGCAUUUUCCAACUGAAAUGAAAUAUGACUACUGAAAUUGAAUUGGACAUCCAGAAUAGUCCUAAGAAAACAUGGUACGGAUUUUCCAGUGUUCGAAUGUCAUUUUGGGUUUAGUCGGGGCUGGUUCAAGGGCUUGUACGAGGGAGUUAUGACUAGAACUUAGUAACCUUAGUAACUAUGCUUGGAAGGGUUUCCGAGGUUGCCGAAGGAAGAGAGAGUUGUUGCUGAAGUUUUGAUUGGAGCAUCCGACCUUUGGAUUGUGAGAUCUGAGUAUAAUAUUAGUUUGAGCAUCUGGAGUCACUGGCAUUGUUGGGAUUCAAGAAGUAUUAGCUAGUUUUCAGGAAUUGUGACUAGUUUUGGUAGGCACUGGUCGUCAACAGAUUGAUCAUUGGAAUGAAAGAAGGAUUGGGAAUCCUUCAAUGUUCAUGUGUCGAGCAGACUUAGUUGAAUCUAAGUGGGGGAGAACUAUUCAGAUAUUCAGGACAGAAGCGAGUGUGAAGUUAGGAUGCAUUUCACUGUUGGAUAAGGUGUCUAAGUCCAUAACUUAUUUGGUAUAUACUUGACCCAACCCAGCAUGGUCCAUUUGGGUUGCACUUCACCCGAACUAUUUAUAUGGAUAAUAUUUAUGAGAAUAGUAUGUUUAUGAUUUAUUAAUAUAUUAUAAGUUAUAAUAUAUUAAUAUGAAAUCAUAUUAUUUAAUUAGUAUUGAUCUUAAAUUAAUUAUGAAUUAAUUUAGUGAUAAAAAAGGUGACUAAUUAAACAUGGGCUAUUAUAUUUAUAUAGUGUGGGCUAACACUCAUUAUGGAAACGGGCUAAGCUUAAAUGGGAGUCCAUGGAUGAUCCAUGGAGCUUUUAACCCAUGGAUCCUUGGAAGAGGAAAAGACAUGGGUUAUUAGGGUUUACUAUAAUCAUCUACACUAUAUAAAGAGGCUUGUGAUGCUUGAAAUGACACUAAGUGUGUGUGCAUAAGAGUGGCUGAUUUCUAGAAGCUAGACAUAAUCUCUCAUAAAGCUUUUCCAAGUUUGUGGUGUUUUGUGGUUUCCAUUUGAGGCAUUCACAUUAUUGGUGCUUGGCUCUUAAACUCCAAAGGAAUCAACUCACAGUCAAAGGUAUGCAAUUCUUCUUGUUCUUUAUGUUUAAAAGUACCCCAUGCCAUGCUAGAUAGGUUAUGAACCUUGGAAAAAAUUAUUUUUGCAUGUAUUAUAGUCAAAAAAUAGAUCCAAGGUUUCUAGGGUUGCAUGAACGCCUUAGGAGUGUUAGUUUGCUCAAAACCCAACAGUGAUAUCAGAGCCUAGGCUUGCUUGCUUGAUACUUGUUGCAAAAUAGUUGACAAUCGAUUUUUUAUGCAAUCUGCACAGGGGACUCGCCAAGUCCAUUGGGGGACUCGACGAGUCCAAGCGAAUCUUCAACCAACUCGGCGAUUCAGUUCAUGCACUCGACGAGUUGGUCAGGCAGAGUGCAGUUUUUUCGAUUUUUCUACUGGAAAUGGACUAGAAACAUUACCCUAAACUGUUUUGGUGUUUUAAAACUUGUUUUAGAUGGUGUAAUGUCUGUGCUAAUCCAUUUACAAUGGCUUAUAUCAAAAUUCCAUGCUUUGUAUGUGUUCAUAUGAUUCUUGGAAUUUUGAUAUUCAUGUUCAUGUUCUUAUGAGUUUAGAAUAUUAUAGGAAUUAUUUGCUAAAUUGUUUAUGAUUGAUUCUUGAUCAUUUAUGUGUUUUAAUGGAGUCCGUAAUUUGUCCUCAAGUUAUGGAUUUCCAAAGGUCACUUUCUUUAAACACACAUUUAAAUCACAUAAGUUACAUAGAAAUGAAGAGUCUUCAUUUUUUAUGAACCAUUAACUCAUAAGUUAUGAAAUGAAGAAUUUUGAAUAGUUUCAAAACUUGUCCUCAAGUUUUGGAAUUUGUAAAGUUGCGCACACUUUAAUAAACUUUAAUUCCAUCCCUUAGAGUUUUAAAAGUUAAAAUUCAACCCUUAUACUAUUAUAACAUUAAUGGUUAAUUAUUAUAUAUAUAUAUAUAUANNNNNNNNNNNNNNNNNNNNNNNNNNNNNNNNNNNNNNNNNNNNNNNNNNNNNNNNNNNNNNNNNNNNNNNNNNNNNNNNNNNNNNNNNNNNNNNNNNNNNNNNNNNNNNNNNNNCGGUCUAUAAGGUGGGUAUAAGGUUGUUGCCUAUAAAAUGGCGACUUAAUGGGUGUCCACUCUCACCCACCGCUUGCUUGACUGGUGGAGGGUCGUUAGCCGAACAGGUAGGACAAUGACUUUAAAUUCUCAUUAAAAGUAUAAUGAUUAUUAUAAAGUAACUAAAUGUUUUUUUUAAUUCCCAAUCUUAGUUACUUUAGGAAAAUGUGAACAUGGUGCUAACCCAUGAAAUUCACACUUUGUACCUUACCAAGUCGUUGGUGGAGCGUGUGUGGGUUACCGGCACACUAAUUUGGACUAGUAAGGAUAACAAAGGGUGACUUAAUGUUUGUCAUAG
rnacentral:lncRNA from 1 species